rnacentral:lncRNA from 1 species
UAGUAUUCAACACACUCAUGAGUAAUUUUUUUAUUAAUCUUGAAUGCCUAUUAAUGCAAAUUACCAUGCUGUUUUGUAGAGCUCUCAAAAUAAUCUAAGUGAAGCAUGAGAGAACAAUAGUUUCUAUAAAACAAAUCCACCACCAUGCUCUAAAAGAUAUAAGUGAAGCACUAGAGCAAAAACUAUAUAACUCAAAUGAUAUAAGUGAAGCACAUAGAGUAUUCUAACAAUUUCCGAAUCAUGUGUGUCUCUCUCAACAGGUGUGUACAGCAAGGAUGAUUGUGGCAAACUAACAAACAAAGACUCAAAUAAUACAAGACGCUCCAAGCAAAACACAUAUCAUGUGGUGAAUAAAAAUACAGCUCCAAGUAAAGUUACCAAUGGAAGUAGACGAAAGAGGGGAUGCCUUCCGGGGCAUCCCCAAGCUUUGGCUUUUAGGUGACCUUAGAUUAUCUUGGGGUGCCAUGGGCAUCCCCAAGCUUAGGCUCUUUCCACUCCUUGUUCCAUAAUCCAUCAAAUCUUUUACCCAAAACUUGAAAACUUGAAAACACAAAACUCAGCAGAAAAUCUCGUGAGCUACGUUAGCGAAAGAAAACAAAACACCACUUCAAGGUACUGUAAGGAACUAAUUAUUUAUUUAUAUUGGUUUUAAACCUACUGUAUUCCAACUUCUCUAUGGUUUAUAAACUAUUUUACUAGCUAUAGAUUCAUCAAAAUAAGCAAACAACACACGAAAAACAGAAUCUGUCAAAAACAGAACACUCUGUAGUAAUCAGUAACUAACGCAAACUUCUGGAACUCCAAAAAUUCAGCCAAAAUAGGACGACCUAUUCAAUUUGUUUAUUGAUCAUCUGAAAUUUGAAUCAAUAUUUUAUCACGUUCUGGUGAUUUUUAACAAUUAUUUUCGUGAACAGAAAGUUUCUGGAAUUUUCAGCAAGAUCAAAUAACUAUCAUCCAAGAAGAUCCUAUAGGUUAAACUUGGCACAAACACUAAUUAAAACAUAAAAACAAAUCUAACCAGAGGCUAGAUAAAAUAUUUAUUCCUAAACAGAAGCAAAAAGCAAAAAACUAAAAAUAAAAUUGGGUUGCCUCCCAACAAGCGCUAUCGUUUAACGCCCCUAGCUAGGUAUAAGAGCAAGGAUAGAUCUAGGUAUUGCCAUCUUUGGUAGGCAAUCCAUAAGUGGCUCUCAUAAUAGAUUCAUAAGGUAAUUUUAUUUUCUUUCUAGGGAAAUGUUCCAUGCCUUUCCUAAACGGAAACUGGAAUCUAAUAUUCCCUUCCUUCAUAUCAAUAAUUGCACCAAUCGUUCUAAGGAAAGGUCUACCAAGAAUAAUAGGACAUGAAGGAUUGCAAUCUAUAACAAGAACAAUAAAAUCUACGGGCACAUAGUUCCUAUUUGCAACAAUAAGAACAUCAUUAAUUCUUCCCAUAGGUUUCUUAAUGGUGGAAUCCGCAAGGUGCAAGUUUAGAGAGCAAUCAUCAAAAUUACGGAAACCUAGCAAAUCACACAAAGUCUUUGGAAUCAUGGAAACACCGGCACCCAAAUCACACAAAGCAUAGCAUUCAUGAUAUUUAAUUUUAAUUUUAAUAGUAGGUUCCCACUCAUCAUAAAGUUUUCUAGGGAUAGAAACUUCCAACUCAAGUUUUUCUUCAUAAGAUUGCAUCAAAGCAUCAACGAUAUGUUUAGUAAAAGCUUUAUGUUGACUAUAAGCAUGUGGAGAAUUUAGCACGGAUUGCAACAAGGAAAUACAAUCUAUCAAAGAGCAAUUAUCAUAAUUAAAUUCCUUGAAAUCCAAAAUAGUGGGUUCAUUAAUAUCUAGGGUUUUGAUCUCUUCAAUCCCACUUUUACCAAUUUUUGCAUCAAGAUCUAAAAACUCCGAAUUUUUGGAACGCCUUCUAGGUAAAGGUGGAUCAUAUUCAGUCCCAUCAUUACCAAGAUUCAUAUUGCAAAACAAAGAUUUAAUAGGGGACACAUCAAUAACUUUUAGAUCUUCAUCUUUAUUUUCAUGGAAAUUAGAAGAACACGCUUUCACAAAGCAAUCUUUCUUAGCACGCAUCCUAGCGGUUCUUUCUUUGCACUCAUCAAUGGAAAUUCUCAUGGCUUUGAGAGACUCAUUGAUAUCAUGCUUAGGUGGAAUAGAUCUAAGUUUCAAAGAAUCAACAUCAAGAGAAAUUCUAUCAACGUUCCUAGCCAAUUCAUCAACUUUAAGCAAUUUUUCUUCAAGCAAAGCAUUGAAAUUCUUUUGCGAAUUAAUAAAUUCUUUAACACUAGUCUCAAAUUCAGAAGGCAUCUUAUUAAAAUUUCCAUAAGAAUUGUUGUAGGAAUUACCAUAAUUAUUAGAGGAAUUACUAGGGUAUGGCCUAGGAUUAAAGUUUCCUCUAUACGCGUUGUUACCAAAAUUAUUCCUACCAACAAAAUUCACAUCCAUAGAUUCAUUAUUAUUCUCAAUCAAAGUAGACAAAGGCAUAUCAUUAGGAUCAGAAGAAACACUUUUAUUAGCAAAUAAUUUCAUAAGUUCAUCCAUCUUUCCACUCAAAACAUUAAUUUCUUCUAUCGCAUGCACUUUUUUAUUAGUAGAUCUUUCAGUGUGCCAUUGAGAAUAAUUAACCAUAAUAUUAUCUAGGAGUUUAGUAGCUUCUCCUAAAGUCAUUUCCAUAAAAGUGCCUCCCGUGGCCGAAUCUAAAAGAUUUCUAGAAGCAAAAUUCAAUCCGGCAUAAAAAUUUUGUAUAAUCAUCCACAAAUUCAAACCAUGAGUAGGGCAAUUACGUAUCAUUAAUUGCAUCCUCUCCCAAGCUUGUGCAACAUGUUCAUGAUCAAGUUGCUUAAAAUUCAUAAUAUCGUUUCUAAGGGAGAUGAUCUUAGCGGGAGGAAAAUACUUAGAGAUAAAAGCACCUUUGCACUUAUUCCAAGAAUCAAUACUAUUUUUAGGCAAAGACAAAAACCAAGCUUUAGAAUGAUCUCUAAGCGAAAAAGGAAAUAGUUUCAAUUUGACAAUAUCAUUGUCCACAUAUUUCUUCUUUUGCAUAUCACAAAAAUCAACGAAGCUAUGUAGAUGGGUAGCGGCAUCUUCACUAGGAAGGCCGACGAAUUGAUCUCAUGACAGGAUUCAAUAAAGCAGCAUUAAUUUCACAAGAUUCAGUGUCGGUAAGAGGAGCAAUCUGAGUGCUAAGGAAAUCAUUGUUGUUGGUAUUGCUAAAGUCACACAAUUUGGUAUUAUCUUGAGCCAUCGUGACAAGCAAGCAAUCCAACACACGAGCAAACAAGAAGCAAGCGAAAAAGAGGCGAACGGAAAAGAGAGGGCGAAUAAAACGGCAAGGGUGAAGUGGGGGAGAGGAAAACGAGAGGCAAAUGGGAAAUAAUGUAAUGCGGGAGAUAAGGGUUUGUGAUGGGUACUUGGUAUGUCGACCUUUGCGUAGACUCCCUGGCAACGGCGCCAGAAAUCCUUCCUUCUACCUCUUGAGCACUGCGUUGGUUUUCCCUUGAAGAGGAAAGGGUGAUGCAGUAAAGCAGCGUAAGUAUUUCCCUCAGUUUUUGAGAACCAAGGUAUCAAUCCAGUAGGAGGCUACGCACGAGUCCCUCGCACCUACACAAAGAAAUAAAUCCUCGCAGAUGGAGGACGUCGGUCGCCGCCGUAGAAUAGGUUUAGGGUCGGGUUUCUUUUAUUUUUCUGUCCUAUAAAAGUUCGAAAUGUAAUGAAAAUCUGCCGUGUUUGCAUUAAUCUCGGCCGGUGUAUAUGAACUUUCACAAUAAUAUAGUAUAUUGUAGGAGUACUAGCAAGAUGCCCGUGCGUUGCGCGGAAGAUCAAAAUCUUGUGGGAGAAAAGGAUGAACGAGGGAAGGCCUUAUCUGCAAAUGCACAUUCACGCAUUUCACAUUUUUCUACAUCUACGGGAACCUACGAAAGGGUUAACGUAAAUUGCCUCUCUCUCUCCUCCACUGAUUUUCAUGGUGGUGGGCCCCUCCCUCCCCCAAUCUACAAUCAACAGCUCACACGUUUCACAUUAUGUUAAUUACGUAACCGGGACUACGUAGGUGUAGCAUUAAUCGUCCUAAAAAACCGAACUAAGCCAACCUCCCAGCAUAUCACGCGGGAAAAGACCCGGCCGCGCCGUUUUAGUCGGGAUUACCGGAUUACUAGUAGUAGUAUCGAUGGAUCGCGCGAAGCAACAAGUUUUUUUGAGGGGGUGAAGCACCUAGUUUAAAAGGAAAAAGGCGGUACAAUCACAGCACCCCUGUCAUGGUCGCAUUGCACCCCACACACGUUCGGUCCUACACACGGCUCACGCAAACAGAACGUGCUUCGGCUUGCCUCUUCACUGACACAUGGGACUGCACUUGGAGAAACCGACCAUGCACCAAACUCCCCCCACCCACCGCGCGAAAAUCCUCCCCCACCCAAAAAUUCCCCCCAAAUCCUAGAUUCAACCGCCCUUCGGCCAACUAGACAAUAAUAUUCCCCAAACCCCCCUCCCCCCGUCCCCAUCUGCUACCUCUUGAGCACUGCGUUGGUUUUCCCUUGAAGAGGAAAGGGUGAUGCAGUAAAGCAGCGUAAGUAUUUCCCUCAGUUUUUGAGAACCAAGGUAUCAAUCCAGUAGGAGGCCACGCACGAGUCCCUCGCACCUACACAAACAAAUAAAUCCUCGCAACCAACGCAAUAAAGGGGUUGUCAAUCCCUUCACGGUCACUUACGAGAGUGAGAUCUGAUAGAUAUGAUAAGAUAAUAUUUUUGGUAUUUUUAUGAUAAAGAUGCAAAGUAAAGAAAGCAAAAUAAAAACGAUGCCAGAAAUAGCUUGUUGCCGGGAGAUUAAAUAUGAUGGAAAAUAGACCCGGGGGCCAUAGGUUUCACUAGUGGCUUCUCUCGAGAGCAUAAGUAUUACGAUGGGUGAACAAAUUACUGUUGAGCAAUUGACAGAAUUGAGCAUAGUUAUGAGAAUAUCUAGGUAUAAUCAUGUAUAUAGGCAUCACGUUCGCGACAAGUAGACCGACUCCUGCCUGCAUCUACUACUAUUACUCCACACAUCGACCGCUAUCCAGCAUGCAUCUAGAGUAUUAAGUUCAAAAGAACAGAGUAACGCGUUAAGUAAGAUGACAUGAUGUAGAGGGAUAAACUAAUGCAAUAUGAUAUAAACCCCAUCUUGUUAUCCUCGAUGGCAACAAUACAAUACGUGCCUUGCUGCCCCUACUGUCACUGGGAAAGGACACCGCAAGAUUGAACCCAAAGCUAAGCACUUCUCCCAUUGCAAGAAAGAUCAAUCUAGUAGGCCAAACCAAACUGAUAAUUCGAAGAGACUUGCAAAGAUAACCAAUCAUACAAAAAAGAAUUCAGAGAAGAUUCAAAAAUUGUUCAUAGAUAAACUUGAUCAUAAACCCACAAUUCAUCGGUCUCAACAAACACACCGCGAAAGAAGAUUACAUCGAAUAGAUCUCCACAAGAGAGGGGGAGAACAUUGUAUUGAGAUCCAAAAAGAGAGAAGAAGCCAUCUAGCUAAUAACUAUGGACCCGAAGGUCUGAGGUAAACUACUCACACAUCAUCGGAGAGGCUACGGUGUUGAUGUAGAAGCCCUCCAUGAUCGAUGCCCCCUCUGGCGGAGCUUCGAAAAAGGCCCCAAGAUGGGAUCUCACGGGUACAGAAGGUUGCGGCGGUGGAAUUAGGUUUUUGGCUCCGUAUCUGGUAGUUUGGGGGUACGUAGGUAUAUAUAGGAGGAAGAAGUACGUCGGUGGAGCAACGUGGGGCCCACGAGGGUGGAGGGCGCGCCCAGGGGGUAGGCGCGCCCCCUACCUCGUGCCUUCCUGGUUGAUGUCUUGACAUAGGGUCCAAGUCCUCUGGAUCACGUUCGUUCCAAAAAUCACGUUCCCGAAGGUUUCAUUCCGUUUGGACUCCUUUUGAUAUUCUUUUUCUGCGAAACUCUGAAAUAGGCAAAAAUAGCAAUUCUGGGCUGGGCCUCCGGUUAAUAGGUUAGUCCCAAAAAUAAUAUAAAAGUGUAUAAUAAAGCCCAUUAAUGUCCAAAACAGAAUAUAAUAUAGCAUGGAACAAUAAAAAAUUAUAGAUACGUUGGAGACGUAUCACCCACUCCAUUCGCUCCGCCAAAGCCGCCCUCCCCGCCACGCCGAUACGUCGGCGCCGCGGUUCAUCGAGGGGACGCACGGCGAUCCUCUCGCUCCCACAGUACGCUCUCGUAGACUGCCGUCCUCUAGCCGCGCCGCCACCGCUGGUGACGUUCUUGUGGAGGCGCAUGGCGGUCAGUGCCGCCACCGCUGGCGACGUUCGUGUGGAGACGCACGGCGGUCAGCUUCUCCCGCGGUACACGCAUUCUAGGCUGAGGCCCCGUGCAUGUCGGUGUAGCGCUGAAUGUUAGCUGAUAGACGCUGUUAAUCUCACUGUUUGCUGAAGUAGUUUACAGUCAAUAUGCUCUACUUAAGAAACUUCCUUGCCCUGUUCUGCACUCAAUCUGCUUAGCUGAGAUGGCAUGCCAAGGCCGAUUAGUUGCUAAAAUAUCCUGCCAUAUAUUUAUUGUGACAUAGAUUGACAUGGUCUAGUAGCCAAUCUGUUAGGUGAAAUAUCUCUACACCGUUUUAUACUCGAUCUUUGUUGCUGCGAUGGCCUUUAAUAGUUUGAUGGCUGUGUGCUCGGCCUCAUUGACUGCUGAAACAGUCUGCCAUAAUUUAGCACUCAAAUCUGUUUGCUGAAUUAGCUUUACAUAUAUUUCGUUACUUAGAUCUGCUCUUCCAAAUAUCUUGCCAUAGCUUUAGACAUCGACCUAGGUAUUUUCUUCUGGACUUCAUAAAAAAACAUAUAUAUUUUUCCUUUAAUAUCUAGUAGAAGAACUAAUUUGUAUGUCUAACAGAUGGACAUGACUUGGAUAACUUCUACUCGAAGAUUCUCCGCUGCAUAUGUCGAGGGGGUUGAAAACUUCAUGAGCUUUAUCAGAGCUGAGUACGGUGGUCCAAAAUCAGAUGUGCUCUGCCCGUGUAGCACUUGUAUGAAUUCAGUUACGAGACCCCAGUCAACUGUGCAAAAUCAUCUACACUUGUAUGGGAUGUCGGUCACAUAUACUAGGUGGGUUCAUCAUGGUGAAGCUGUGAAUGUCAAUGUUAUUGACUACGUGGAAGCAGCAGAUCACCAUCUUGAUAUGCCUGAUGUUCAGGUGGAAGAGGAUGAGGAGGAGGUGGUGGCGGAGCCAGUGAGUUUGACCAACAUUGAAACAAUGCUACAAAAUGCUCGUGCAUUCCGUGAACUUUCACCUGCAGAAGAAAAACGGUGGGCCCGCAUGUUGGAACAAUGCAACGUGGCUGUCACCCCAGGAAAUAAGCUGUCAGUAUUCUCAGCUAUGGUCACCUUUCUUCAGGUGAAGACAUCUGAGCAGAUGACCAACAAAUCAUUCGAUGCGAUGUUGGCUACUUUCCGCAAAGCUUUCCCAGAUGCGUCUGAGCUGCCACACACCUAUAGUAAAAUGAAGAAUUUCCUUCAUGCAGUUGGAAUUGGAUAUGAUAUGAUCCAUGUUUGUAAUAAUAAUUGUUCCGGAAGGAUUAUGCCAACUUAAGUGAAUGCCAGAAAUGCAAAUCAUCAAGAUGGAAAGAUGGCGAUGCUGUGAAGAGGAUUCGUCAUAAUGUUCCGAGACAUUUUCCAAUUACACCAAGAUUGCAGAGGUUGCUUCAUGAUGCUGAAACAAGAGAGGAUGUACUGUGGCAUUCUAGGAACCAGGAUUUCAGCGAUCAGAAUGUAAUGAUACAUCCAUCACAUGGUAGUGAGUAGAAAAGCUUCAAUCAGAAGCAUGAAAUGUUUGCUGCUGACCCGAGAAACAUUAGACUUGGCUUAGCUUCAGAUGGAUUUAACCCAUUUGGCCACCAGAGCGCCACAUAUAGCAUGUGGCCAGUGCUUGUUAUCCCUUACAACAUGCCUCCAAAUGUCUACACCAAAGAAUCAAACUACAUGAUGGCCUUGCCCAUCCCAGGUCCAAAAAGUCCUGGAAAGGAUUUUGAUUUGUUCAUGGAGCCUCUUGUGGAGGAACUUCAACAGCUAUGGCGGGGUGUUCUCACUCGAGACCUAUAUAGCAGCCCACCAGCUGAUUUCUUUCUGCAUGAUGUUAUAAUUUGGUGCAUCCAUGAUUAUCCGGCUUUGGGCACUAUGUCAGGGUGAAUGACACAUGGUUACAAUGCAUGUGUUCGCUGUGACAGGAAUCCGCUGUCAUACGCAAUACUUAGCAAGAUCUGUUACAUUGGACACCGCCGUUUCCUUGCCAAGGACAAGCCGCAUCCUAGAAAAUACUGAAGACAUGUGUUCAAUGCAAAGCAUGAAAAACUGUGAUGCGCCAAAGAGGCUCACCGCCGAUGAGUUGCAACUGGAAUUAGAGAAGGUCAGGCAUAUUACACCAAGAAACCAUCCUGAUAAUGGUAGCGGGAAAAGGAAGCAUGGCAGGGCAGAAGAGAGAUUAUUGUUUACCCGCAAGUCCACUUUGUGGGACUUGGAGUAUUGGAAAGAUUUGGAUCUGCGGCAUAAUCUUGAUGUGAUGCACAUCGAGAAAAAUAUGUGUGACAGCAUUAUCGGCACACUUCUUAAUAUUGAAGGCAAGAUGAAAGAUACCUUAAAAUCUAGGAUUGAUUUGACACACUUGGGUAUCAGAAAGGAUUUGCAGGUGCAAGAUGAAGGUAAACACGGGAUAUGGCACCAGCUGUGUACGUCUUGGACAAGGUAAAAAUAAAAAAAUUCUGCAAGGUCCUGUCACGUGUGAGAUUCCCACAUGGAUUUGCUUCCAACCCUGAAAGGAGAGUCAGUGCAGGUAGAAACAAGGUACAAGGGUUGAAAACUCAUGACUGCCACGUCCUAAUUCAAAGGGUUUUACCUGUUAUCCUUAGAGGAUUGGGCCGCCCUGACUUAUACAAUGCAGUUGUAGAGUUGGGACAAUUCUUCAGGGAACUCUGCAGUAGAAAUAUCAGGAUAGAUGCUUUGGAGCGUCUUAGAGACAAGAUACCAACUAUCCUAUGCGACCUUGAGAAGAUAUAUCCUCCAGCCUUCUUUGAUGUGAUGGUGCAUUUGGCUGUUCAUCUACCUGAUGAGGCACUACUUAGAGGUCCAGUACAGUAUGGUUGGAUGUACCCUAUUGAAAGGCGGCUAGGCACUUUCAAGGGCUAUGUUAGGAACAAAGCUAGACCUGAGGGUUCCAUUGCAGAGGCCUACAUUGCUACAGAAGCGUUGACAUUCUGCUCAAAAUACAUUGAAAUAGCUGAUCAGCUUAGCAAAGACGUGGAUGAAGACAAUCCCGGGCUCAAUGUUUUCGAUUAUUCUGUUCGAGUUACAGGGAAGAGUCGACAAGAGGACAAAACUAAAGAUUUGGACAAAAUGGUUUGGUAUGUGUUGAAUAACUGUCCUGAGAUACUACCUUAUAUCAAGUAAGUGCUAAGUACUACAGCUUAUACUUCGUAAUCUACUAAACUUGCAGCACAUUCUUAUAUAUUUAGAUGUUUGACGCGAUCACUAUGUUGUGCAGCAUCUACAAAAAGGAGUUACUGCCGCAAAAUCCAAGAAACAUUAACAAACUGGUUAUGGCAGGAUUUGCGAAAUGGUUCAAGAGCCAUGUAAGCUUUUGAAUUGCACUGUCAGUUUUUUAAUAUAUUGAGUACAUAAGAUGAUCAGCUUGUCUAUUUUCUAACCAUAGGUUAAGAAGAUGUGGGAGAAUGGGCAGGCAGUUGAUGAUGCCCUUUACUCACUAGAAAUGGGUCCUGAUACUCGGGCAAGACAUUAUGAAUCUUGUGUUCUUGAAGAUGUGCGCUACAACACCCUUGCACGAGACGAAGGCAGGAAGACACAAAACAAUGCCAUCAUGAGCACAGAUACAUAUGACAAAGAGACAACUGAAAUGUAUGCUAACAUAACAGACAUUGUUCAGUUGCAGUAUAUCUCCAGUUUCGAGGAUCAUCGGUGUGUGGUUCUAUUGUGCCGUCGUUGGUAUAACCUGUUUUCCAGGAUCGCAAAACCCAGAGCUGAUGAUUAUUUCAAAUCCAUCAAUGUCAAGGCGGCGUACCAGACCAACGAGCCUUUUAUUUUGGCAAAUCAAGCAACACAGAUAUUUUUCUUGGAAGACACAUUUGCACGUAGUGAUGACUGGAGAGUAGUGCAAAGGUUUGAGCAGAGGAAUUCAUUUAAUGAAGUUGCACAACAACAUGAUGCUUACACUGCUCCUGAUGUACAAGAUAACACAGAUGUUCCUAAUAUCUUUGAGAACCAUAACGUCAAUGACGCCGGCGAAAAGAUUGCCUGUCGUGCUGUGGACAUACAAGAGUUGAUCAAGAAGAAGCCAACGUUCGAGGACGUUGAGGACGAAGAAGAUGACACCAUGGGGAAUUACGAUUCAGACUGAUACACAUGGCGAAGAUGUUGACGCUGCUGCUGCGGAUGAUGAUUACAUUGCUUUUGUCGUAUUUACCUGUCAGAAGACGUUUUUUAUCUACUAUGUGAAAUUGUGUUUGCUAUGACAACUGAAACCUGAUGAACAUGUUGUUUAGUAUUUUCCUGUGAGAACAUCACUUGCCAUGUAUGCUGAUUUGUGUUUGGUGAUUGUAUGACGACUAAAACAUGAUGACAUUGUUGUUUAGUUGUACUCAUAUUUGGCUGUGAAACUUGAAUUUCAUGACAUAGUUUGCUGUUGGACUGCAAUUUGCUCGACGUGUUCGAAUGAGAACAAAGCUGACCCGAUAGGUCCUCUGCUAAUUUAUUUAUUUAUUACCAAAAGGACCUAUGCUAUUUAUUUAUUUAUGAGCAAAAGGGGAUACCCCCUGAUUUUUGUUAAUAUAAAUCAUUAGAUGUUCACAACACUACGCCCAGCCUGCUACACAGGUUUCAUUCAUUACUAGUUUCAGCAAAGUGCUCAUGUCAUAGCCACUGAAUACAUCACGAGUGCUACAUACACUGCAAAUAAAGAGACAAUCAUCCUACAGAGCACAUCGAUUUUGCCCAUUAUCUUCACAAGCUCUUUCAUCUCCUCAUUGCUGUCAAGGCCGUUCAGCAGCUGUUGCUUGGCCAUGAUCAGAGGAACUGCAUCUUUAACCUUCUGCUCUGCAUCUUCCUCUUCUGCCAUUCCUUCAGUUACUUGUCCAAUACCCCAACCUGCUGGUAUUGGGAUUCCUCGGCUAACCAAAUAAUCAGCGUACUUGCACUCCCCCACAUCAGCGACUUCCCAGAAAUACAAAUCACACGAAUCUUCCCUUUUCUGGAUGAAUCAAAUUGGAAGAUCAUCAACCAAACUAUUAAAAAAAUCAGCAACUGAAAGCAGCAGAACAACACUUAAACAUAUUAUUACCCCAUGAUUCGGGCAUUUGUAGAAGACUCGGCCAGGGUUGAGGAUUGUGGUUGAGACGCGACGGAUGACUCUGCGUGAUUUGCAGCAGUGGCACCACACCAACGACAGCGGGUUGCGAUGAGCAACUGGCUGCGGUGCCUGUGCCGGCGGGGGUGUGAUGAGACCCACAGGCGAUGGUACGGGUGGCGACUUGGCGCAUAUUUGGUUGUUGCCUGCUGAAGAGCAGGUGGACGAGCAGCCAGCGGACAUGGUUGCUGCGGCCAGAGCUUCUGAUGCUAGGUAGAGUAAGUAGAGAAGAGGUGAAGUGAACGUUGGAUAUGUCAGUUUCAUUACUUGCAGAGUAGCAUAGCACCAUAUAUAGUCAUAGUCUAGGUUUGGAUUCGAACCAGCUACAUGAGCACGUCUCUCUUUUUUCUAAAACUCAGCAACGUCUCUUUACUGGUACACUAGCUUGUUCUGUACGCCUUCUCAAGUCUUUGAUUCCUCCACCUGACAUCUAGGACCCACCGGAAGGGCCUUUGUAUUUCACGAAAAAAUGUGCCCCCCGCUGACAGGUCGGACCCACCAGCUAUCUUCGCACGCAAGGAAGUGCCUCCUUAUUACGCACAAAAAAAUGAAUACUCCCCCUGCCAGCUGGAACCCAGCAUUGUGGGAGGCUGACUUGUGGGCCUACCAAGUUGACGGGGACGGAGGGCUUUGUCAACAUAGUCAAUAUGAACGAUUCUUGCUCCAGUUACCGUACGAUGUUCAUCCAACGGCAGUAGUGCUUCUUCAACCUCUAGUCUUCUUGCUCCAGCCGCCCAAACCAGCGCCGGUCAUGCCGCGUGCUCCUGCCUCUCGUGGCCGGCUGUGAUGCCGCGGAGGCCUCACCGCCCCUACUACUCCCACCGCUCGCCAGGCCAUCCCUCUACUCACCCACACCCCCUAUUAUUCUGCGGCGACGACAGCCUCACACCGCAGCCGAACCAGUGAACCCUUGUACUCCUCUCCGUGUGGGCAUCCACUGCCGCGUCUUCCCCGGCUCCGCGUCAUCCCCUUCCUAGGCCUCGCCGUCGUCCACCGCCUUGGUGCUCUCGGUGCGGCGUGGUCAAUGUGGUCAACGACCGACUUCUAUCGGAAGAGUACUGUACAUGGAGAGGCUGACAGCUGGGUCCACGGCCGCAGCUGGGUCCACGGCCACAGCCCAGUUUUUUUGUGAUUUGCCAAGUAAGUCGCUUUGUCAGGUGGACAAUUUGUUGGAUUUUAUAUUGAUAUACAUUUAUUUUUAAAAUCAGUUUGAAUGUGACUCAAAAUUUCAGGAUUAAAAAUAGUUCGGACCGCACCGAAAUAUGCAAAAUUUCGUAUAAUUUUUAAACCGUGGCCACAAUAUGGCCUGUAAUGCUAACAAAAAGAAUAUGGGCUCCAAAAAAACCUUAAGAAUUAGCAAAUGGGUUGUAAAUUAUUAGAAAUAAUGGUAGAUGGGCUGUAUGCUGUUUUCCACAGAUUUGAGGCUUUCCUAAAAAAAAGGUUGAUGCACAAGCAGUGACUGUUGGAUGUCCAUCCAACGGCCGUCGUGCUUCUUCAAUAUCUGCUCUUCCUGCUCCAGCCGCUCAAACAAGCGCCGGCGGCACUGCCUGCUCCCUCCUCCCCGCGGCCGGCUGUGCUGCCGCGCAGGCCUCAUCGCCCCACCAUACUCCCAUCGUUGGCCUAGCCAUCCCUCUACUCACCCACACCUGCUGUUAUUCUCCGGUGACGGCAGAUGAACCGGUAAACCCUCGUACAGACGUACUCCCCUCCACGUGGGAAACAACUGCCGAGUCUUCCCUGCCUCCGUGUUGUUCCCUUCCUAGGCCUCGCCGUCGUCCACCGCCCUGGUGCUCUCGGCGCGGCCUGGUCAACGUGGUCAACAACCGACAUGCAUCUGAAGUGGACUGUACGUGGAGCGGCUGACAGCUGGGUCCACGGCCGCACGCAAGGAAAUGCCUCCUUAUUACGCGCAAAAUAAUGAUUCCUCCACCUAACAUCUGGGACCCACCGAAAGGGCCUCUGUAUUUCGCGAAAAAAACGUUACCGCCGCUAACAGCUUGGACCCACCAGCUAUAUCUUCGCACGCAAGGAAGUGCCUCCUUAUUACGCACAAAAAAAAUGAAUACUCCCCCUGCUAGCUGGGACCCAGUAUAGUGGCAGGCUGACUUGUGGGCCUACUAAGUUGACGGGGACGGAGGGCUUGGUCAACUUAGUCAAUAUGCACGAUUCUAGCUCCAGUGACCGUACGAUGUCCAUCCAACGGCCGUAGUGCUUCUUCAACCUCUGGUCUUCUUGCUCCAGCCGCCUAAACCAGCGCCGGUCGUGCCUCGUGCUCCUGCCUCCUGUGGCCGGCUGCGAUGCGGCGGAGGCCUCACCGCCCCGUACUACUCCCAUCGCUGGCCAGGCCAUCCCUCUACUCACCACACCCCCUGUUAUUCUGCGGCGACGGCAGCCUCACACCACAGCGAACCAGUGAACCCUCGUACUCCUCUCCGCGUGGGCAUCCACUGCCACGUCUUCCCCGGCUCCGCGUCGUCCCCUUCCUAGGCCUCGCCGUCGUCCACCGCCCUGGUGCUCUCGGCGCGGCGUGGUCAACGUGGUCAAGGAACGGCUUCCAUCGGACGUGGACUGUACGUGGAGAGGCUGACAGCUGGGUCCAUGGCCGCAGCAAGGAAGUGCCUCCUUAUUAUGCGCAAAAUAAUUAUUCCUCCACCUGACAGCAGGGACCCACUGGAUGGGCCACCGUAUUUCGUGAAAAAAACAUUUCCCCCUGACUACUGGGACCCACCAGCUACAUCUUUGCAUGCAAGGAAGUGCGUCCGGGCAAAAGAAAAAUGAUUCACCCCCUGACUACUGGGACCCACCAGCUACAUCUUCACAGGCAAGGAAGUGCCUGACAGGCAGGACCCACCUGGUCGAAGCGUACGUAGCGUUGUCAUUCUGGUCGCGAACGUGUACGUACAUACUGGUCGAUGUAGAGGCGCGCAUGUGUCGUAGUAGAGGCACACACGUAGCAUGUACACGUACGUACAGCGGCCAGGGUGCAAGAAAGUAAGUACGGCCACGUACGUACAUACGGGGGAGUCUCGAACGCCUACUCGCGUACGUACGGCCAGGGCUCGUGUACAUGGCUGGGUCGGAACGGAGAAACAGCGUCGUCGUCAUGUUCAUGGGGAGGCAACGGAAUGCGUCGUCUUCAUCGGGAGGAAACGGAACGCGUGGGAGCCAACCGGCUUGGAUGGAAUAGCUGAUGGAAACGAGGCCUAGCGUACCGCAGAACGGAGGAAACGGCCUUGUGUUCGACCGGCCACAUUCAAAACGGGAUCCUGUUCAUCGGGAGGGGUCUGGCGUACCGCAAAACGGAGGAAACGGACCUCCUACGAUCUAAACGGGGGUCCUGUUGAUCGGGAGGGGUGUGACGUACCGCAAAAUGGAGGAAACGGACUUGUGUUGGAGCGCUACGGUCGAAACGGGGGUCCUGUUCAUCGGGAGGGGUGUGGUGUACUAAAAAACGGGACUCCACGGGAUACUGUUCAUCUCCACCGUCGACCCCUCCAGCCUCCACGGGCUACUGUUCAUCCACCGUCGACCUCCUCCAGCCUCCACCAGCGACUGUUCAUCCACGGGCUCCUGUUCAUCCAGCCUCCACCGCGCGCUACUCCACCGGCUACUGUUCAACCAGCCCUCUCCACGGGCUCCUGUUCAACCACCCCUCCACGAGCUACAGUCAUCCAACCCUCCACCGCCUACUGUUCAUCCUGCCCUCCACGGGGUGGUCCUGUUCAUCCUGCCCUCCAUGGGGUCCUGUUCAUCUAGCCCCAACCGGCUCGAUUGAUCGGGGUCCUGUUCAUCCAGAGGCAACACCACGGGGUCCUGUUCAUCCACCCCCACCGGGAACCGUUCAUCCAAACCUCCCAGCAAUGCUCACUGUUCAUCCAGAGGCAGCAUCGAUUGACUUCAGUUAGCAGCAGUAGCGAAGGAAUCACUUGAUCGGGUUCAGUUAACAGCCAUCGAUCGAUCGCUUGGGUUCAGUAACGCGUAGCCUGCAGUGCAAUCGCUCGGGUUCAGUUAGAGCCCAACGCCUCGCUCGGGUUCAGUUAGAGCCCAAUGCCUCGCACCCACGCGUGUGCGUGUAUGAGAGAAACGCACAUCGCUCGGCCCCGACCACCCACCAUAACCGGGAACACCCUGAUAUUUUCCUCGCCCUCGCUUCUACCACGGUUUUUUCCAUCAUGGACGGCCCAAAGAAUGUCAUGCAGCUGCGUCUCCGGCCCGCCCAGGACAAAAAGCCCAUUUUCUGUCAUGAUUUUUUGUCAUAGAAGUAUGACCCCACCACAUCUAUGAUGAUACCGUGUUUUGUCAUAAUUAUUGUCAUAGAAGUGUCAUAAGUAUGACAGGAAAAAAAUUCGUUCGGCCCAAAAUGUCUCGGAUGUGUCUCUUUUUUGUAGUGACUGACGAGGUAAUGGAGCACGAAUUCCCAGAAGGGUUUAAACACGUAAACAUCGAAUCAUACGAUGGGACAACAGACCCCGCGGUAUGGAUCGAGGAUUUUCUUCUUCACAUUCAUAUGGCCCGCGACGAUGAUCUCCAUGCCAUCAAAUACCUCCCACUAAAACUCAAAGGACCAGCCCGGCACCGGUUGAACAGUCUGCCUGAAAACUCCAUCGGCGGCUAGGAGGACCUGGAAGAGGCCUUCCUUGACAACUUCCAAGGUACAUAUGUUCGACCCCCGGAUGUCGAUGACUUAAGUCACAUAAUUCAACAGCCCGGAGAGUCAGCCAGGAAACUCUGGACUAGGUUCUUAACUAAAAAGAACCAGAUUGUCGACUGUCCGGAUGCCGAAGCCUUAGCGGCAUUUAAACACAGCAUCCGGGAUGAAUGGCUCGCCCGACACCUCGGCCAAGAGAAGCCGAAGUCCAUGGCAGCCCUUACGGCACUUAUGAACCGCUUUUGCGCGGGCGAAGAUAGCUGGCUAGCCCGUAGCGAUAACAAUGCAAGCGAACCUGGCACUGCGGAAGCCAGAUAUAGCAACGGCAAGCCCCGACGCAACAGACACAAGCGUUGAAAUAACGGUGAUAAUACCGAUGACACGGCGGUCAACGCCGGAUUCAGUGGCUCCAAGUCCGGCCAGCGGAAGAAGCCGUUCAAAAGGAACAAUUCGGGCCCAUAUAGCUUGGACCGCAUACUGGAUCGCCCAUGCCAGAUACACGACACCCCUAACAAACCAGCCAAUCACAGCAGCAGAGACUGUCGGGUUUUUAAACAGGCCGGCAAGUUAAAUGCCGAGAACAAGGAGAAGGGGUCGCAAAGCGAGGACGAUGACGAGGAGCCCCGGCCACCGAACACAGGGGGACAGAAGAAGUCUCCCCCCCAAGUUAAAACGGUGAACAUGAUAUACGCUACCCACAUCCCCAAGAGGGAACGCAAGCGCGCGCUCAGGGACAUCUAUGCGAUGGAGCCAGUCGCCCCAAAGUUCAAUCCAUGGUCUUCAUGUCCGAUCACUUUUGAUCGCAGGGACCAUCCGACCAAUAUCCGUCAUGGCGGUUCAGCCGCACUGGUCCUCGACCCAAUCAUUGAUGGAUUCCACCUCACGAGAGUCCCCAUGGACGGUGGCAGCAGCCUGAACCUGCUCUAUCAGGAUGCCACGCGCAAAAUGGGCAUUAAUCCCUCAAGAAUUAAGCCCACAAAGACGACCUUUAAAGGAGUCAUACCAGGUGUAGAGGCCCGUUGUACGGGAUCAAUCACCCUAGAGGUUGUCUUCGAAUCCCCGGACAACUUCCGAAGCGAAGAGCUGAUCUUCGAUAUCGUCCCCUUUCGCAGCAGCUACAACGCACUGCUCGGACGAACCGCAUUUGCACGCUUCAACAAGGUUCCACACUACGCUUAUCUUAAGCUCAAGAUACCCGGUCCACACGGCGUCAUAACAGUCAAUGGAAACACGGAACACUCCCUCCAUACCGAGGAGCACACCGCUGCAUUAGCUGCAGAAAUACAGAGUGGCCUUCUCAAACAGAACCUUAAUUCGUCGGCCGAGCUCCCUGACACUGUCAAACGAGUCCGGACUACUCGGCAGCAGGACAACCCAGCUCGUCAAGAGCUCGACUAGCAAUUUGGCCUCCGUCCCAGUCCCAACCAAGUAGCGGCAUCCGUACCGCGCGUACAUAACUACGCACUGAAAAUACCAUGGGCAUAGACGGAGGCAUAACUAGCUUGUGAUCCAUAAUAUGGCUCGACCGCUCCUGGACACACAUACUUUAAAUUUUUCUUUUUUUAUCCUUUUUAGGUGUUUUCUCCGCAGGUUUCUCCUGACGACCUGAUCAUCGGUCCUCUCGGCAGGAUGGAUACACCAAGAUAGCAAGAAGCACUGGCGUACAAGGGAAUUCUUAGAUGGUCUCUUUAACGAUCACUCUACCUGCUUUCAGGGCCCGCACACAGCUCUCCCUUGGUUGUGGCAUGUUAAAUAGCCCGGUUGCUUAUUGCAACACUUGUACAAAUACGCUUUGACGUAUUGUUCAAACUAUAAUGGAAACAGUUUGCGGCCCAACUUCUGCGGCACUAGCUUACUACCCCUUUUUCCUUUUUCUUUGAUAAUCUUCUCAAAGUUGCGACCGUACACUUUGGUACGCUUUAAUCUGCCAGGGCUUCAUUGCGACCCAUAACACGGCAACAAAGUCCGAACACUUUUUAGAACAUAGUUCGGCACCCCGAAUUUAGCAUUAUAUGCAUUGGCUCCGAAUCAUGUCUUUGGUCAAUAGUUGGGUUGCCCGGCUCCUGUCCUUACUACCUUACGUUCCACUAUAUCGGCUAGGGUAGUAAAGGGAGAACUACUGCGAUUGUGUCCUGGUUUAUCCGGAUGAGCACCUCAGUAGAGAAAGCCGAAAACUGACUGUCAUGAUGCGGCGAGAGCCGGUCAGCUCUUCAGAGGUUUCAAAUCUUUAGCGAUUUUUUCCGCAUUAUGCGAUGAAUCGGCUCUUACCCGAUCAGGUGUUUACAUCAUCCUAGUUCGGAUACUAGGGGCUGCACCUAAAUUUUUCAUUGUAGAACUCCUAUGGCUAAGUGAGGGUGAUAAAGCCACAUAGUCUGAUUGCCUGGUUCGUUGCGCUAAACACCUCCUUUAAGGAACAAACAAAUUGGAUCAAGAGUGUUUAGAUUCCAUCCCGAACACCCCCGUACUACCUACAUGGGGGCUGAAGCCGACGACUGGCCAACUCUCAAAAUUUCAUAAACACGGCCGCACAGGAGGUAAAAUAUUAAACAAGCAUUAUAUUACAUAGCCGAACUUGUUUGAUAACACAGAGCGAGACAAUAUGAAUGUAUUCAUUCAAAGAUUACAUCCUUCAUACAUUGCUCCGCCACAAUGCGGGAUCCCUCCAGGACAUCACUAAAAUAUCGCUCAGGAGUGCGGUGCUCCUUGCCCGCAGGCAGUCCCUCGGUCGCGACCGUGACAGCAUUCAUCUUCGCCCACUGCAACUUGACACGGGCGAAGGCCAUCCUCGCACCUUCGAUGCAGACCGACCGCUUGAUGGCGUCAAGCCAAGGGCAGACAUCGACUACCCGUUUCACGAGACUGAAGUAGCUGCUGGGUAUGGCUUCGGUAGGCCACAGCCGGAUUAUUAAGUCCGUCAUGGCCAGUUCGGCCACCCUAUGCAGUUCGACCAGCUGCUUUAGCUGAUCGCCCAAGGGCACCGGAUGUUCUGGUGCAAGGUAUUGGAACCAGAACAGCUUCUCCGUUGAGCUCCCCUCUUCGGCUCGGAAGAAUUCAGCAGCGUCGGAAAUGCUGCACGGCAGAUCCGCAAACGCCCUUGGAGAACUCCAAAUCCGGGUUAGUAAGAGAUACCUCUUCUUCACAUACUUGCUUUGCAUAAUGAAAGCCUUACCCGCCGCGAUCUUCUUGGCCUCAUGGAUUUCCUGGAGGGCGCCUUGGGCUUCGGUCCGGGCCUCUUGUGCACUUUGGCGGGCCUUCGUGAGUUCGGCCUCUUGGUCCGCAUGCUGGCGUUCCAAGGACUCAUAUUUCUUCAAGGCGUCCCAGAGCUCCUUCUGGACCUCCCCAACCUUAGCCUCAUGCUUUUUUCGGGCGGCUUGUUCUUUCGGCACCCUCUCCUCGGCCUCGGCCAGUGCUUUCUUGAGGGUUCCAACCUCAGUCGCCGCUCCUACAAAUAUCACGGCACUACGAUCAAUACACAUCAUUCAAUCUUUCCGAAUAUGCAGCAAGUCUCCACAUACCUUGCUUGUCCUCUAGCUUCCUUUUCACAAGGCCGAGCUCAUCUUCGGCCCGCUCCAGACUCUGCUUUAGUCCGGAGACCUCAACAGCAUGAGAGGUGGCGGCCAGCAGCGAUGCCUGUUUUCAUAAGACAUAUUUAGUUAGUUUCUUGCAAAAAGUACUUGAUCCUCUGUCCGGCUUUUCUUUCCGAACAACGGACAGUGUCUCAGGGGCUACAUUGUCUAUACUAUGACCUUUUCUUUUGCAUCGCUUACCUCAAAGCCUGUCAGUAGGCUGGUGUAGGCUUCGGUCAGUCCGCUCUUGACAGACUGAACCCUCUCAAUCACCUUACCCAUAAGGAUACGGUGUUCCUCCACAAUGGAAGCGCCUCGCAGCGCUUCCAGUAGAUUAUCCGAUGCCGCUGGUUGGACAGAGGUCACCUGCAGAAUAGGCACACCUCCUUCUUUCGAAGGACACUGCUUGCCGGAUUCCGGAGCCGUAUAGGUCUCCGGAACCGUAUUCGGCUGGGGUCCGAACUGGACAUGGCCCCCACCGCCAGUCUCCAUGGGGGUCCUCUCUCCCGUGUGUCCGGCGGCCGAAGGGUCACCCUAUGGCGCCACCUUGACAACCUCCUGAACCUCUCCCUGGCCAGGGAAGGUCCUUUGGGACAGCACCUCGUCGUCGCCCUUGGCUGUGGGAGAGUGAGCGGUCGGCGGUGACUCGCUUGCCAUCGCCUUUGAAUCCAGCGAACCUCGUGAUGAGGAUCGCAGGGAGCUGUCGUGGGCCGGACUACAAGCGCAUGAUUUAACGUGUUAAAACUAUGAACCGAAGAGGCCGAAUACAUGAAUGUGUCAGAGUCUUUUGAGUACUCACGAUGCGGCCAGGGGCUUGUUUCGGCGGUGCGGCUCUGGGCUGCUGUCGACGUCCCACGCGGAGUUAUCCGCGAGGGAGCUCUUCCCCCUCUUGGACGCCUCUGCCUCCAGAUUUGUGGAGGCCGCCCUCUUCUUCCUUCCCCCUCAGGGGGAGAGCUGCUUUCCUCCUCGUCUUCAUCGUCGUCUUCGGCGGCGGAGGAGGGAGUCUCGUUGUCUUUGGACGUCCUGUCCGAAGCUCCUUCGCGACGGGGGCCACUCCGGACCCCCUUGGCCUUCUUCUUGGCCUUCUUCUCCUGCGCCUGGUAAGGUGCCGGGACCAGCAUCUUCGUUAAAAAGAGGGAUGGCUGGUUCCUCGGGCAGUGGAGCCGGACACUUAAUCCGGUCCGCUUUCUCUGACCAUACCUGAAAAAAAUAACUAGUGGAGUUUAGGUAUCUUCCUCGAAUAAGCAAGUAGAGGAUACACCUUGAAAUGCGAAAGACUUACCACACUGGCGGGAUGGGCCAGAUCGUGCCCGCGGUCCUCGUCCAUCUCCGGCGGUGUCUCGUUGCCCUUGAAGAGCAACUUCCAGAUAUCUUCAUGCGUGGUUCCGAAGAGCCUUUCCAAGGUCUGGUGCUUCUCCGGAUCGAAUUCCCACAAAGGGCAAGUCCGGCUCUGGCAUGGAAGGAUCCGGCGAACUAACAUCACCUGGAUCACGUUGACGAGCUUGAUGUUCUUGUCCAACAUGCUUUGGAUGCGCGUUUGCAGCACGAUCAGCUCGUCCGACCGUCGAUGUGGAACGACACCUAUGGGAUCACAAGAAUCCCUACUACGGUUGCCGGGGCGCAGGGUUGCAAGAAGAGCAGGAUCAGUAGUCAGCACAAGAAUCGUUUACCCAGGUUCGGGCCGCGAGGAUGCGUAAAACCCUAGUCCUGCUUUGGUGGGUGUAUUUCAGAGAGUUCUUGAGCUCUCGAACUAGCUGUGGUGAGUGCGUGGUUCGAAAGAGCCGAAUCCUUCUCCAGUAUGCCAUGGGCCUCCUUUUAUAGUCGAAAGGGGCUGCCAUAGUGGCACACAGGAGGUGGAAAGGUGUACAGUGCCCUGAGCUUAUCGCUCGUAUUACAGGACAAGACGCAUUUAAUGCGUAGCUUAGGUGUCCGCCUGCUUUAUCGGGGAUGGGGGCAAGGCCCGUCCCGUCCGUCACCGCUCCUCCUUGCUUUGACACACGCCUUGGCCAGCGAUGCGUGCGGCACUAUGUAGGCAGGCAGGCAGCUUAGGUGGUGCGGUGGUGGAGCCUUCAUGAAGAUCUGCAUGCCGCCACGCAGGCGCUCGAUGAGUUGGCCUGGGGGCUGCAUGUUGCCACGCAGGUGCCCGCCCAGCUGGUUGGGCUGGCAGCUGCAUGUGAACGGCGGUGGAAGCUUGGUUGGCGUGGGCCUGGCGGUGGACCUGCUGGCGUCCUUGGUGAGGGCCUUGCCGGGUGGCCCGGCAAGUGUCUUGCCGAAUGGCCCGGCAAGGGUCUUGCCGUGGCGCGCUGUCGUCCCCGGCAAGGGCCUUGCCGGGGGUCUGGUGGCCUUCCUCGGCAAGGAUCUUGCCGAGGAUCGUUGUCUUCUAAUCCUCAUCUAAUAUUGAAUAUGUCUUCACAAAGAUCUGCAUGCCACCACAGAGGUGCCUUCCCAAGCCCUGGCCCCAUGUGGAUGAUGGCGUUGGGGACCGUGGGCUCAAGGGUGGCCCGCUCUGUUGGUGUGGGGCGAGCUGCCCCGACAAGGGUCUUGCCGGGGCUGCUGAGGCUGCCCCGGCAAGGGUCCUGCCGGGGGAACCUGCUUCGUCCCUCUGCUCUUUGUGGUCUUGGCCUUGGCGUUGCUCUUAUUAUCUUGGGCUUCGGUCUUACCUUGGCUCACCUCCCCUAUUCUGCUUGGUGUGACCGUGGGCGCGGCUCCGACUACCCGUGCACAGGUAAAGGGGUACAAAAAUGCACCCCUCUUUUUGUACACCGACAGGAGCCCCCGGGCCUGGGCCACACAUAAGCACGACACGUUGUUGGGCCAGGCCCAAAACAGUGCGCGGGCAGGCGGGGCGGUUUUUACUGUGGUAAGACUUUUCGUGCGCUGCUCUUCCCACGACCCGCGCGCGCGACGCAUCGUGGAGGGGUGUGCGUGACGUGGGCGGCAUGCGUGGGGCGGUUUCCACAUGCAUGCGUCAUAUCGCAGUAAGGAGGCGGCUCGCGCCUUCCCCGUAAAAAGAGGGAGGCGCGACUCAUUUACUAAACGGGGCUGGGUUGCGGUCUUCAAGGCGUCCACUCCCCACGAUCACGGGGUGGGGAGAGGUCGCUUCACCCGUCCCCUCAGUUCUGCACGUCCGCCACGUGUCCUUCAUGCGCCUGGGGUGGCAAGCGGUGGAGGCGGGAAACCGGACCGUCGCUGGUUGGGGCAGCGGGUCGGUCCUGAUUCCCUGCGCCUUCGGUGGCUGGAUUGGCCGAGCGGGGCGGCCGAGCCCCGACCCCGCCCCUUUAUAAAGAGGGGGAAGGGGGGAUGGCGUCCCGCAUUCUUCUGUCAUCUGUCUCCUCUUGCUUCUGCUUCUUCCUUUCACUCGCCAUGGAGAAAGGGAACCCGGGUCCCUCGAGGGUGGCGGUGAGGGUCGCCGCUCGACAGCGCGUCCCUCCUGCUCCUGAGCUCGUGGUGGUGGAACCGGCCGCGAGGGGAAGGGGGAGGGGGCGAGGCCGUGGGCGAGGUCGGGGCAGAGGUCGUAGUGCUUGGGGAAGAGGAGGACGGGGCGACGCGCCGGCUUUGCCCCCGCCAAUGGUGCCUUUUCCGAUGGAAGGCCAUGUCGGAGACCAGCCCCGCGAGUUCUUCAUUAGGCUGCGCCGGCCUCCGCGUCGCCGUAUCUGUCUUCCUGCCCCGUUUGCUCGGGAGAUGGAGCGUGACCGGCCCCAAUCCCUCAGAUUGCACAUGAGGGGUUGCGGGAAUGGGGGCACGCGGGUCGACGUCGACUUCCUGGCUCCUCGGGUUAUGUACCUCCGUCACGGAUGGAAGAUGUUCGCUCGCAUCCACAGCCUGACGGCGGGGCUCGUCCUCUACUUCAAAUUAAUGGAGGACGGCAUGCUCUCCGUCAAGAUCUUCGGAGACUUCGGGACUCGCCUGAAGUGCUGCAUGGAGAGCUCCUCCGACAGAGAUUCCGACGAUGGAAGCUCUUCCUCGAGCGAAAUUGACGAGGAGGACAGCGGGGCAGAUGACGGGGACGAGUCCGACUAGGCGUCGGACGCCCCGCGCCUGGGCGGGUGCGGCAACAGCAGCAUCUGCACCUGGCCGCUCCUGUGGCAGAGUUUUGCCGGGGAUGGGGCCAGCUCCUUGAACUUCUCAGGGCCGUCUCCUUGGGCGGCUGGCGUCGGGAGGCUGCGGAAGAGGAAGAGGGCAGGCGGCAAGGCCGUCAACUCGGAGUACGCGGGCACCGACUCCUUCAUCGCGUAUUGCCGGUCCUGCCGCCUCGUCUUCCAGCUCCUUUCCCGGCACCGUCAUCACCGGCCCGCCCGUGGGCAGCCACCGAGGUGUUCUCUUGGUGCUUUCUGCUACUCGUAGCUCGCCUAGGCGCCCCUUUUGCCCUUUAGCCUUCUUGACCUGCCUCCUGAGGAGAGGGACAAGAAAGGGAUUACGGGCAUCUUAUCUCUUUUUUAGUCUGUAAGCCUUCGGGACUUGUUAAAUUUAAAGCUUGUAAUCCCCUUGCUCAUGUUUUUCAUUCCGUAUGGACUGUACAUGUGUGGGAUGUUUUUAAUGAAAAAGGGAUGUUUGCCGGGUUUUUCAUUCGUGGGUAGACCCCGCGACAAGGGCGAGUCCUUGUUACAAUUUAAGAUAAACGUUUUCACCUGGCAACAGGCCUUGCCGUCCCCCCACUUCGCUUGACCAUUCUCGCGCCCUUGGCGGAGGCAGGGAUGAAGCGGGCUUUAGGCUCCUCGUUCUACUUCCUUGCCACCGCGACUACAACCAAAUCCGGGCCCAGGAGAUAAUCCCUGGGUAUAGAAAAAGGGGAGCACGGUGGCCUAGAAAUAAAACCAGGUUUCACAUAUCCCAGUUCCGUUCCGAAAUGCAUGAUAGAGGAUGAAAGACUUAUCUGGAUCUGCAGCCCCCGGCAACCUUGUCUUGCCACGGUUGGAUCCUUGUGCUUGCAGCCCCCGGCAACUCUGGUUUGCCGGGGUCGGGACGUCGGUCCGUUUCCUUUCUUCAAAGUAGCUCAGCAGAAGUGCUCAUGUGCCCUACGAACAAAGGGAGGAUAGAAAAGAGACAGAUAGACGCGCACUCGACCUCUAGGCUAGGGGUUAGUCGCCGCUAAGCACUAUCAACCCUAACCAAGGAAGAGACUCGACCUAGCAUGCAUGCUAUAACUUAGGGCGCCAGCGCUUCAUUUAUUUAUGCUCAGGGUCUGCGCCUGGCUUUGUACGAAGGGUUACAUGCCUUGCCGGCAAAGCUUGUACAAAAGGUGGCUUGCCGGGAGGCCCGGCAAGCCGCGCCUUAUGGGUAAAACUUGCGAAGAUGCUCGAUGUUCCAGGAGUUGCUCACUGGGACGGCAACUUCGGUCUCCAGGCGGACUGCACCGGGCCUGGUGACUCGUAUUACCCGAUAAGGGCCUUCCCACUUUGGCGUCAACUUGUUGGCAUUUUUGGCCAACUGAACGUGCCGAAGAACAAGGUCGCCUUCCUCAAAGCUUCGGGCAUGAACCUUGUGGCUACGGUAGCGGCGCAAGGCUUGCUGGUAGCGCGCUGCUCUCACAGCCGCCCGAAGACGAUCUUCCUCAAGGAGCGUCGCGUCAUCUUGGCGCAACUGCUCUUGCUCAAGCUCAUCACAAGCGAGCACUCGAGGUGACCCGUAUAUGAGUUCCGUGGGGAGAACUGCUUCUGCCCCGUAGACCAGGGCAAAAGGUGUCUGGCUGUGGCUCGAUUUGGCGUCGUCCUGAUCGACCAAAGAACCGCCGGCAAUUCAUCAAUCCAGCGCCUUCCGCUCUUGCGCAUCUUGUCAAAAGUCUUUGUCCUUAGGCCUCGCAACACUUCAGCAUUCGCCCUCUCCGCUUGGCCGUUGCUCCGUGGGUGUGCCACGGAAGCAAAACAGACCUUGCUGCCGAGGUCUUGAAUGUAUUGCAUGAAGGUGUGGCUCGUGAACUGCGUGCCGUUGUCGGUGAUGACUCUAUUUGGCACACCAAAAUGGCAGACCAGUCCUUUGAAAAACUUGACAGCUGACUGAGCAGUCACCUUUCUCACUGCUUCCACCUCCGGCCACUUUGUGAACUUGUCGAUUGCAACGUACAAGUACUCAAAGCCCCCGACAGUGCGGGGGAAAGGGCCCAGUAUGUCGAGCCCCCAGACCGGGAAUGGCCAGGAGAGAGGGAUUGUUUGAAGGGCUUGGGCUGGUUGAUGAAGCUUCUUUGAAUGGAACUCACACGCUUCACACUUGGUUACUAGUGCCGUCGCAUCCUGGAGAGCGGUGGGCCAGAAGAAACCCUGCCGGAACGCCUUCCCGAGAAGGGCUCUCGACCCUAUGUGGGAGCCACAUAUGCCUCCAUGUAUCUCUGCCAACAGCUCCAGUCCUUCCUCCCGGGGUAUGCACUUCAAUUUCACACCGUUUGGCCUUCUCCUAUACAGGACGUCAUCGACGAACUGGUACAGGGCGGACCGACGGGCUACUUUUUCCGCUUCUUCCUGCUCCUCAGGAAGCUCCCCUGUUUGGAGGAAUUGGACGGUAUGCUGUGCCCAAGCCGGGGCCUGGGGCUCGACGGCAAGGGCCAAAGGCAUUUCUUCCGCCAUGGGAAUAGGAAUCACGACUUGCAUGUCGAUGAGUAUGACAACCGGCAGGAGCCAUAGGAGUUGUCUUUAUUUUUGUAUGACCUGCGUGUCAUUGAAUAAUGCCAUGUAAAUUACUUUACUUUAUUGCUAAACACGUUAGCCAUAGAAGUAGAAGUAAUCGUUGGCGUGACAACUUCAUGAAGACACGAUGAUGGAGAUCAUGGUGUCAUGCCGGUGCGAAGAUGAUCAUGGCACCCCGAAGAUGGAGAUCAAAGGAGCAAAAUGAUAUUGGCCAUAUCAUGUCACUAUUUGAUUGCAUGUGAUGUUUAUCAUGUUUUACAUCUUAUUUGCUUAGAACGACGGUAGCUUAAAUAAGAUGAUCCCUCGCAAUAAUUUCAAGAAAGUGUUCCCCCUAACUGUGCACCGUUGCGAAGGUUCGUUGUUUCGAAGCACCACGUGAUGAUCGGGUGUGAUAGAUUCUAACGUUUGAAUACAAUGGGUGUAAGCCAGAUUUACACACGCAAUACACUUAGGUUGACUUUACGAGUCGAGCAUGUACAGACAUGGCCUCGGAACACGGAAGACCGAAAGGUCGAGCAUGAGUCGUAUAGAAGAUACGAUCAACAUGAAGAUGUUCACCGAUGUUGACUAGUCCGUCUCACGUGAUGAUCGGACACGGCCUAGUUGACUCGGAUCAUGUUUCACUUAGAUGACUAGAGGGAUGUCUAUCUGAGUGGGAGUUCAUUGAAUAAUUUGAUUAGAUGAACUUUAUUAUCAUGAACUUAGUCUAAAAUCUUUACAAUAUGUCUUGUAGAUCAAAUGGCCCCCCGCUAAUGUUGCCCUCAACUUCAACACGUUCCUAGAGAAAACCAAGCUGAAAGAUGACGGCAGCAACUAUACGGACUGGGUCCGGAACCUGAGGAUCAUCCUCAUAGCUGCCAAGAAAUAUUAUGUCCUAGAAGCACCGCUAGGUGAAGGACCCAUCCCAGAGAACCAAGACGUUAUGAACGCUUGGCAGUAGCGUGCUGAUGAUUACUCCCUCGUUCAGUGCGGCAUGCUUUACAACAUAGAACCGGGGCUCCAAAAGCGUUUUGAGCAACACGGAGCAUAUGAGAUGUUCGAAGAGCUGAAAAUGGUUUUCCAAGCUCAUGCCCGGGUCGAGAGAUAUGAAGUCUCCGACAAGUUCUUCAGUUGUAAGAUGGAGGAAAAUAGUUCUGUCAGUGAGCACAUACUCAAAAUGUCUGGGUUACACAACUGCUUGACUUAGCUGGGAGUUAAUCUCCCAGAUGACGCGGUCAUUGACAGAAUCCUUCGGUCGCUUCCACCGAGCUACAAGAGCUUUGUGAUGAACUUCAAUAUGCAGGGGAUGGAAAAGACCAUUCCUGAGGUAUAUUCAAUGCUGAAAUCAGCGGAGGUGGAGAUCAAAAAGGAACAUCAAGUGUUGAUGGUGAAUAAAACCACUAAGUUCAAGAAAGGCAAGGGUAAGAAGAACUUCAAGAAGGACGGCAAGGGAGUUGCCGCGCCCGGUAAGCCAGUUGCCGGGAAGAAUUCAAAGAAUGGACCCAAGCCUGAGACUGAGUGCUUUUAUUGCAAGGGAAGUGAUCACUGGAAGCGGAACUGCCCCAAGUACUUAGCGGACAAGAAGGCCGGCAACACCAAAGGUAUAUGUGAUAUACAUGUUAUUGAUGUGUACCUUACCAGCACUCGUAGUAGCUCCUGGGUAUUUGAUACCGGUGCGGUUGCUCAUAUUUGUAACUCAAAGCAGGAGCUGCGGAAUAAACGGAGACUGGCAAAGGACGAGGUGACGAUGCGCGUCAGGAAUGGUUCCAAGGUCGAUGUGAUUGCCGUCGGCACGCUACCUCUACAUUUACCUACGGGAUUAGUUUUAAACCUCAAUAAUUGUUAUUUAGUGCCAGCUUUGAGCAUGAACAUUGUAUCUGGAUCUCGUUUAAUGCGAGAUGGCUACUCAUUUAAAUCCGAGAAUAAUGGUUGUUCUAUUUAUAUGAGAGAUAUGUUUUAUGGUCAUGCCCCGCUGGUCAAUGGUUUAUUCUUAAUGAAUCUCAAACGUGAUGUUACACAUAUUCAUAGUGUGAAUACCAAAAGAUGUAAAGUUGAUAACGAUAGUCCCACAUACUUGUGGCACUGCCGCCUUGGUCACAUUGGUGUCAAGCGCAUGAAGAAGCUCCAUGCUGAUGGACUUUUAGAGUCUCUCGAUUAUGAAUCAUUUGACACAUGCGAACCAUGCCUCAUGGGCAAAAUGACCAAGACUCUGUUCUCCGGAACAAUGGAGCGAGCAACCAACUUAUUAGAAAUCAUACAUACUGAUGUGUGCGGUCCAAUGAGUGUUGAGGCUCGCGGAGGCUAUCGUUAUGUUCUCACUCUCACCGAUGACUUGAGUAGAUAUGGGUAUGUCUACCUAAUGAAACACAAGUCUGAGACCUUUGAAAAGUUCAAGGAAUUUCAGAGUGAGGUUGAGAAUCAACGUGACAGGAAAAUAAAAUUCUUACGAUCAGAUCAUGGAGGGGAAUAUUUGAAUCACGAAUUUGGCACACACUUAAGGAAAUGUGGAAUAGUUUCACAACUCACGCCGCCUGGAACACCUCAGCGAAAUGGUGUGUCCGAACAUCGUAAUCGCACUCUAUUGGAUAUGGUGCGAUCUAUGAUGUCUCUUACCGAUCUACCGCUCUCAUUUUGGGGCUAUGCUUUAGAGACUGCCGCAUUCACUUUAAAUAGGGCUCCGUCAAAAUCCGUUGAGACGACACCAUAUGAAUUAUGGUUUGGGAAGAAACCUAAGCUGUCGUUUCUAAAAGUUUGGGGAUGCGAUGCUUAUGUCAAGAAACUUCAACCUGAAAAGCUCGAACCCAAGUCGGAAAAAUGCGUCUUCAUAGGAUACCCUAAGGAAACCAUUGGGUAUACCUUCUACCUCAGAUCCGAAGGCAAGAUCUUUGUUGCCAAGAACGAGUCCUUUCUGGAGAAAGAGUUUCUCUCGAAAGAAGUAAGUGGGAGGAAAGUGGAACUUGAUGAAGUACUACAUCUUGAACCGGAAAGUAGCGCAGCUCAGGAAGAUGUUCCUGUGGUGCCUGCACUGACUAGAGAGGAAGCUAAUGAUGAUGAUCAAGGUACUCCGGAUCAAGUUACUACUGAACUUCGUAGGUCCACGAGGACACGUUCCACACCAGAGUGGUAUGGCAACCCUAUCCUGGAAAUCAUGUUGUUAGACAACGGUGAACCUUCAAACUAUGAAGAAGCAAUGGCAGGCCCAGAUUCCGACAAAUGGCUAGAAGCCAUGAAAUCCGAGAUAGGAUCCAUGCAUGAAAACGAAGUAUGGACUUUGACUGACUUGCCCAAUGAUCGGCGAGCCAUAGAAAAUAAAUGGAUCUUUAAGAAGAAGACAGACGCGGAUGGUAAUGUGACCAUCUAUAAGGCUCGACUUGUCGCUAAGGGUUAUCGACAAGUUCAAGGGGUUGACUAUGAUGAGACUUUCUCACCCGUAGCAAAGCUGUAGUCCGUCCAAAUCAUGUUAGCAAUUGCCGCAUUCUAUGAUGAUGAGAUAUGGCAAAUGGACGUCAAAACGGCAUUCCUUAACGGCUUUCUUAAGGAAGAAUUGUAUAUGAUGCAGCCGGAAGGUUUUGUCGAUCCUAAGAAUGCUAACAAGGUAUGCAAGCUCCAGCGCUCCAUCUAUGGGCUGGUGCAAGCAUCUCGGAGUUGGAACAUUCGAUUUGAUGAGAUGAUCAAAGCGUUUGGGUUUACACAGACUUAUGGAGAAGCCUGUGUUUACAAGUGAGUGGGAGCUCUGUAGCAUUUCUCAUAUUAUAUGUGGAUGACAUACUAUUGAUGGGAAAUGAUAUAGAGUUCUUGGGAAGCAUAAAGGCCUACUUGAACAAGUGUUUUUCAAUGAAGGACCUUGGAGAAGCUGCUUAUAUAUUAGGCAUCAAGAUCUAUAGAGAUAGAUCAAGACGCCUCAUUGGUCUUUCACAAAGUACGUACCUUGACAAGAUAUUGAAGAAGUUGAAUAUGGAUCAGUCCAAGAAGGGGUUCUUGCCUGUAUUGCAAGGUGUGCAAUUGAGCACGGCUCAAUGCCCGACCACGGCAGAAGAUAGAGAAAAUAUGAGUGUCGUCCCCUAUGCCUCGGCCAUAGGGUCUAUUAUGUAUGCCAUGCUGUGUACCAGACCUGAUGUAAACCUUGCCGUAAGUUUGGUAGGAAGGUACCAAAGUAAUCCCGGCAUGGAACACUGGACAGUGGUCAAGAAUAUCCUGAAGUACCUGAAGAGGACUAAGGAUAUGUUUCUCGUUUAUGGAGGUGACGAAGAGCUCGUCGUAACGUCGAUGCUAGCUUCGACACAGAUCUGGAUGACUCUAAGUCACAAACCGGAUACGUGUAUAUUUUGAAUGGUGGGGCAGUAAGCUAGUGCAAUUGCAAGCAAAGCGUUGUGGCGGGAUCUACAUGUGAAGCGGAAUACAUGGCGGUCUCAGAGGCAGCACAAGAAGCAAUCUGGGUGAAGGAGUUCAUUACUGACCUAGGAGUUAUUCCCAAUGCGUCGGGCCCGAUGACUCUCUUCUGUGACAACACUGGAGCUAUUGCCCUUGCCAAGGAGCCCAGGUUUCACAGGAAGACUAGGCAUAUCAAGCGUCGCUUCAACUCCAUUCGUGAAAAUGUUCAAAAUGGAGACAUAGAUAUUUGUAAAGUACAUACGGACCUGAAUGUAGCAGAUCCGUUGACUAAACCUCUCCCUAGAGCAAAACAUGAUCAACACCAGAACUCUAUGGGUGUUCGAUUCAUCACAAUGCAACUAGAUUAUUGACUCUAGUGCAAGUGGGAGACUGUUGGAAAUAUGCCCUAGGGGCAAUAAUAAAAGGGACAAUUGCAUUUUUACCCCUAGUUGGUUCCUACCCACGGGUUUUGCCCUUACUUUUCGAGCUUGCUCAGUUUUGCCCUUACUUUUUCCGUCGUGGUCCCUCGAAUGCCCUUUGACCGUUUGACCAAAACUUUGAAUAUUCAUAACUAAUUCAUAAGAACUCAGAAAAAUGAAAAUAAGAUAUCAAAAGGUUCAGAUAAACGUUACCUUUAUGUGCAUAUCAUUUGCAUUCAGGACAAAAGCACCCUUUAAACUACCCGAGGUAAUUAAUGUUAUUAACAUUAUUAAAAAUAAAAAGGUAUAAACAAUUUUUUUUGCAUGAAUAAAAAUUACAUGCAAAUGUAGGUGAUGUUUUCUGAACAUCCAGAUAUCUUAUUUGCAUUUUUCUGAGUUCGUAUCAUCUUGUUAAGAAUGUUCAAACGACUUUGACCAUUAUUUGGAAACUUCAUAACAAGUUGAUACGAACCCAUAAAAAUGCAAAUAAGAUAUCAGGAUGUUCAGAAAACAUCACCUACAUUUGCAUGUAAUUUUUAUUCAUGAAAAAAUAUAUUUUUUAUACCUUUUUAUUUUUAAUAAUUUUAGUAAUAUUAAUUAUCUCAGGUAGUUUAAAGGGUGCUUUUGUCCUGAAUGCAAAUGAUAUGCACAUAAAGGUAAUGUUUAUCUGAACAGUUUGAUAUCUUAUUUGCAUUUUUCUGAGUUCAUAUGAAUUAGUUAUGAAUUUUCAAAGUUUUGGUCAAACGGUCAAAGGGCAUUCGAGGGACCUCGACGGAAAAAGUAAGGGCAAAACUGAGCAAGCUCGAAAAGUAAGGGCAAAACCCAUGGGUAGGAACCAACUAGGGGUAAAAAUGCAAUUGUCCCAUAAUAAAAUGGUUAUUAUUAUAUUUCCUUGUUCAUGAUAAUUGUCUAUUGUUCAUGCUAUAAUUGUGUUAUCCGGAAAUCGUAAUACAAGUGUGAAUACAUAGACCACAACAUGUCCCUAGUGAGCCUCUAGUUGACUAGCUCGUUGAUCAACAGAUAGUCAUGGUUUCCUGACUAUGGACAUUGGAUGUCAUUGAUAACGGGAUCACAUCAUUAGGAGAAUGAUGUGAUGGACAAGACCCAAUCCUAAGCAUAGCACAAGAUCGUGUAGUUCGUUUGCUAGAGCUUUUCGAAAUGUCAAGUAUCAUUUCCUUAGACCAUGAGAUUGUGCAACUCCCGGAUACCAUAGGAGUGCUUUGGGUGUGCCAAACGUCACAACGUAACUGGGUGGCUAUAAAGGUGCACUACGGGUAUCUCCGAAAGUGUCUGUUGGGUUGGCACGAAUCGAGACUGGGAUUUGUCACUCCGUAUGACGGAGAGGUAUCUCUGGGCCCACUCGGUAAUGCAUCAUCAUAAUGAGCUCAAUGUGACCAAGUGUUUGGUCACGGGAUCAUGCAUUACGGUAUGAGUAAAGUGACUUGCCGGUAACGAGAUUGAACAAGGUAUUGGGAUACCGACGAUCGAAUCUCGGGCAAGUAACAUACCGAUUGACAAAGGGAAUUGUAUACGGGAUUGAUUGAAUCCUCGACAUCGUGGUUCAUCCGAUGAGAUCAUCGUGGAACAUGUGGGAGCCAACAUGGGUAUCCAGAUCCCGCUGUUGUUUAUUGACCGGAGAGUCGUCUCGGUCAUGUCUGCAUGUCUCCCGAACCCGUAGGGUCUACACACUUAAGGUUCGGUGACGCUAGGGUUGUAGAGAUACUAGUAUGCGGUAACCGGAAAGUUGUUCGGAGUCCCGGAUGAGAUCCCGGACGUCACGAGGAGUUCCGGAAUGGUCCGGAGGUGAAGAAUUAUAUAUAGGAAGUCCAGUUUCGGCCACCGGGAAAGUUUUGGGGGUCACCGGUAUUGUACCGGGACCACCGGAAGGGUCCCGGGGGUCCAUCGGGUGGGGCCACCUAUCCCGGAGGGCCCCAUGGGCUGAAGUGGGGAAGGGAACCAGCCCCUGGUGGGCUGGUGCGCCCCCCUUGGGUCUCCCCUGCGCCUAGGGUUGGAAACCCUAGGGGUGGGGGGCACCCCACUUGACUUGGGGGGCAAGUCCCCCCCCCCUUGGCCGCCGCCCCCCCUUUGAGAUGGGAUCUCUGGGGGUCGGCGCCCCCCCUGGACCCCUAUAUAAGGAGGGGGGAGGGAGGGCAGCCGCACCCAAGCCCCUGGCGCCUCCCUCUCCCUCCCGUGACACCUCUCCCUCUCGCUGAGCUUGGCGAAGCCCUCCCGAGAUCCCCGCUGCUUCCACCACCACGCCGUCAUGCUGCUGGAUCUCCAUCAACCUCUCCCUCCCCCUUGCUGGAUCAAGAAGGAGGAGACGUCUUCCCAACCGUAUGUGUGUUGAACGCGGAGGUGCCGUCCGUUCGGCGCUCGGUCAUCGGUGAUUUGGAUCACGACGAGUACGACUCCAUCAACCCCGUUCACUUGAACGCUUCCGCUCGCGAUCUACAAGGGUAUGUAGAUGCACUCUUUUCCCUCUCGUUGCUAGAAGACUCCAUAGAUUGUUCUUGGUGAUGCGUAGAAAUUUUUUAAUUUCUGCAACGAUCCCCAACAGCACGGAAUUUACAAGCGGUGGCACGAGUAAUGUUCAUAGCGAUUUAAAGGUUGAAGUGCAACCACUGCGUCGUGAAUCUCCAGAAUAGCUUGUUUGAGGUUAGAAGCAGACAAUGAGGUAGCAGGGUCCAAGGCAUCGCCAGCAAGACUAUGGAUUUUGCUUGCUACAGCACGAGCUUCUUCCAGAUAGUCACACGCCUCUCUAGUAAUCUGCCUGAUGGUAUGGCGGUGCAUGUUGAUCUCUUCUGCUUGUUCUAGCAUCCUGUCUGAUAUUCUUGCAUAUGCUUUUUUCUGUUUCUCUAGCUGAUAGUAGUUAUAGUCAACAAGCACCUUCUUCUCUAUGGUUUCCAUGUAUUCGAUGGCUAGAUCGGCAACACGGUUCAUUGAUGUCUCCCCAUCCUCACAUACAGGGCUUAACAGCUUAACCCGGCGUGUUGAAGCAUGGAAACACUACUUUGUAUGGUGAAAUUCAACCUGCGAUCUAUAUCCCCACUGCUCGAGCUGACGCACAUGAUAGACUGGUUUAGGGAGCUCAAGCUUCUCAAACAUUGCUUCAGCUAGAGAUGUGGUGGAUUGCUCAACCAACUCCAUGAUGGUGGAAUCAAAAGAUAAGCUCAGAGGGCUGGCACAAGGCAUAAAUGCAGCACACAUUAAGAACAAUGAGCAGUCUCAGGAUGAACACGCAGCAAGAUUCUAAUAAUUCUAUAGGAAUUAAUGAAGGCCACUAAACUAUAUAUCCUACUGAGUUUAUGCAAACACAACAUUCAUAGGCACAUGAAGUGGGUAUGAACCAAGAAGAGAGCUGAUUCUAGAUCUAAAACAAAAGAAUGUACCUUGAGGAUUAGGAUUGUGCUCGUAGGAGCUGCUGGGAGGGAGGGAGGGAGAGGCGUCUCUGGCCACCAAGACCACAUGAGCUUGCCUAAGAGACUGCUGGGCACUAUGAAGGGGUACCGGAGUGGUCGAUUGGUGGCAGGCGUUCCCUACCCGGGGAUCUAUGCGCCUGCAGAAGCAGUCAACAUAGAGAAGAGCUCGAGGCAUAGAGGGGGGGGGGGAAGACGAACCCAGCAAACAGAGGACAAGGUUUGGUGGGUGUGCGGCAGGAUAAAAGAGAAGCCCGCUGGCCCAAAGGAGAAACAGGGCACACGCAUCCAAAUAAAAAAACAUGAAAUCAAUCAAAUCACCAUGGCAUUCAAGAUUUUAAAAACGUUAAAACUCUGAAACAAUAUUCAUGAUUUGAAAAAUGUAUCACAUAGGAAAAACGUCUCUGAAUUUAAAAGAUCAAUAUAUAUUUCAAAAGAUACUCAUGAGGUUUAAAAAAGUGUUAGAAAUAUAAGGUGCCCUAAUAUUAAAAACAAAAUUGUAAAAUAAUCAAAUUUUACAAACAGCAUUAGAAAUAUAAGGUGCCCUAAUAUUUAAAAACAAAAUUCCAAAAUAAUCAAAUUUUACAAACAUGACCACAGUUGAUUUAUCAUGCCCAUUUUAUGGAGCAACAUUGGCAUCAUUUAAAACAACGGAAAUAGUUUCUCCUAUUAUUUUUUGGGGGAAAAUGAACAUUUUAUUUGCGUUAGCCAUAGAUAGAUUUUGACCGAAUAAUAGUUACUUGAAGACCUGGGAAAGCCAUCUCAAAAGGAUUUGAGUGCAUAAAGAUCAAAACUCUAAAACAAAUUCGCUCACCCUGUACUAAACAAUGAAAUAAGGGUAACAGGAAAGAGAUCGAAGAAUAAUCUGAGCAGAUAUUCUAUAAAAAUAAUUUUGUCCUCAGUGGACUAAACGGCAUGAACCGACAGCGCUGAAUUUCAAAUUGCUGCUGGACCCCUAUCGUAUUUUUUAAGAAGAGCAAAAGGAACCCAACAUGGUUCAUUGGAGCAGACAUUGGACAAGUCAUAAUAUGAUGCUUGUCAAGAUGAGUUAAGGAGAAGGGUUCAGCAGUAAGAAGAAAACAUAGGAAAGCAGAGAACAUAGGAACGCAUCCAGAGCAUAGUGACAAGAGCUAGACUAAGCAGCAUGGUCCAGCGGUAUUUACAAUGAGUAGAAAUUGUCACAAGCAGGGAGACAAUACAGAAAGAAUGAACGAUGAUAUUUACAACGCAUAGGAGUUGGUCGGUUCGAGGGCUUCAAUAGAGUUGUCAUGACAAUGGCUUGACACAGUUCCGCGGGUGUCACAGCCUUGCCAUAUAAAGGAGCACAAAAUACAUCAGGCGCAUGCGCAAAAGUUUACUGGGCUUACGAUCUUCAGACCUGAUGGCCAGACCGUUGCUGUUACGUAGCAGAGAUAAGAGUCUCCCUUGACCAUCGUAUCCAUCUAGCGGUAGACUUAGCUUGAUAAGCAAGCAGGAGACAGAAGAUACCAUGAGGAAGAAGAUGAAGUAUAAGUUAUUCUACCGCGACACCUCAUUUAUCGUGGAUGUACGAGGAGUAGAAUUGAAGAAAGGACAAUUGUACCGUAUGUACACGGUUAGUCUAGUCCAUUGAAGAACUACUGCUUUGCUUUCUUUGGGAUGCCAACAGCGUUUGUUCUGGGUUGCAUUUAGUACAAAAACAGGAGGCAUGCUAGCAAAUUUAGCAUGAGUAUAAAUAACAAGAGUGAUAGAAAAGAACAAGAAGACCACAAAUAUUAUAUGCGACGAAUAUAAGAUAACGUAAAUAAGCAGUAGAUCAGCUGAAUAUAAGUAAACACAUAUAAAUCAAUUGCAUGGCUAAUUAGGUUGCCUGUACUGGGCACGUCGUUUUUUAUGCAACAACAAGGAUAAACUUUUAUCGGAUGGCAUCACACGCAUCAUCUAAGAAGAAACAUUAUUUGUAAUUAUACACAGCGAUGUUUUGGAUUGUCAGAAAGACACAGUACAACAAGGGGAAUAAUUAUCAUGGUACACCUUGCAUUAAAGCAAUUGAAUGCAACGGACUAUUUUUACCUCUUGGUUUUAGUCUGGUCAGACAAAGCAUUCUUUCCAUCUUCAGUAGUUCCGGUUUCAGCCUCUUUACCAACCUGUUCAGGUUCCUGCUAUAAAAUUGUGUAAAUGAAGUGUUGUUAGCGGAGAAGGGUGAAUGUAUGUGCGCAUGAAACAGAGGCACAAACCUUUGGCACAACUAUAGCUUGAACUGUCUCUCCAGCAUAGGCACUCUUUUCGGCUUGGGCAACAACAUUGGCAGCAGAGGCAGACAGUUAGACUCCCUCGGCCUUAGGAGGGGAAGUAAAGAGCUUGCGGCGAGAGCUUUUUGGGCAUGGUGAUUUGUUGUUUGGAAACACAAAAUGAAAUCAGGCACAUGCAAAGAAAAAGAAUGUUUAAACCCAUGGCAACACAAAAGCAAGAUUGACACCUAGGCGUUUUAGCGUAAUAGCAUGCCCUUUUCCUUUGAGCGCAGAGAUAGGAGUUCAUCUGGCAAAGAAAUAGCAUAAGGGGUAAAUGAUCGAAAGGGAACAUGAAAGAGGGAACGGGUAGUAGAUAUACCUCAUCCAGAGGCAACACGGUAAGUGUAGAUGAUCCCGUAGGGAAAGAGGCGAGAACGGGAACUAAUGCUCCUAAGUUAUCAAUAGAGGAUGAUGCUCCAGAUGCAUGUGAUGCUCCGCCAAAUCCCAGUAUUUGACAAAAAACUACCACAUUAGGGGCAUCCGUCCCACAGAACUACCACUUUCAAAAAAGUGACUAAUAACUACCGAAAAUUUCAAAUUUUGUGGCAAAAAACUACCAAGUCGUGUUGAUCGUCCAUUUAGCCGUUUUAACCGCUUAACUAACAGGGAUGGCCCAAAUGGCAGGCCGACGGCGGCCCUAACGGCUAACGGACGCCCGCUCGCGGCCGUUAGUGGCCCGGCUCGGUCGGAACCAGCCAGGGGCUAGGUCAAAACGACCGACCGGCCGGCCGACCCUCACUCACUCUCACUCAUUCACUCCUCUCCCCGAGCUCUCUUCUUCCUCUGUUUCCUCCGGCGACUGCGACGCGGCUGCACGAGGAUGCCUUCCUGGCCCAACAGCAACGAGACAUCCGACGCCGACGAUUACGAGUACAUGGAUGAGUACAGCAGCAUGCAAAUGGAGUAUUUUGUAAGUGAGCUCACUCUGUUCUCUCCUAUGCUAGGGUUAGGGUUAGGGUUUGAGCUCACUCUGCUCUUCCAUGUAGUUCUUAUGUGUGAGGUGUUGUGGCUAAUAUAUAUGGGGUUGGUGCUGCAGCAAACUCCUAACACGGUGAUAGAUCCAAGUUUCAGUGGGCUUGUGGUUGAAUCUGACCGUAAGUGCAUCCUGCACAGGCAGAGACCAGGCAGGUUUGUGGCAUUUGAAGGGACCGACACUGGAAGGAGAUUCAUUGGAUGUGCUACUACGGUAAGAGCAACUAUUGUUAGUGGUUUUCAUGUGUAGAUUUAUUUGGUGGUACAUAGUGCAAACAACAUUGAUAUUCUUGUUGUUUCAGUAUCUGUUUACUAAAAACUGAAGUACAAAGCUGGUGUGGUGUUCAUGUGUUAGCUAAAUCUCUGAUAGGAACUGAAUCUAGGCAACAUCUAAAAUUGGUCUAACUGAAUUUCUUUGUUACUGCAUUCAGACAAACAUUGAUAUGUAUGUAUGAAUUCUGUAACUGAAUUUUACUGGAUUUAGUUAUCAUUAAUAUUUCGCUGCAUUUUCAGGAUGGUGUGAACUGUGGUGUUCUGGAGUGGGUAGAUGCCCCUUGGCCAGUAAUUCUGCAGAGGUGUUUAACCAAGCUGUGGGAUAUGUAUCAUGAGGAGAACCUUGGUAGAGUCCAAGAGAAAGAAGCUCAUGAGAUAGAGGUUGAGAAACUGAAGAAGGAGCUGGAUUCUCUUGCCAAUCAGUACAGUCAGCUUGUGGAUGAUGUAUCCAAGCUGUUUGAUUACCAGGAUGGGAAGAAAUCCCAUGACAUGGAUUACACAAGCCAGGCAAUCAAUGAACUUAAGGAGAAGAAGCAUCAGCUUGUGGAGCAGGCAAAGAUUGAGGUUCAAAUGGAGAAGCUUAAGCUGAAGAAAGAACAGAGGUGCAUCCUGCAGAGUCAAGCUGAUAUCAUUCAAAACACCUGGAAGGCCAUGAAGGAGAUACAAGUGGAGAGAUACCUCCUUAAAGAAGAGAAGAAGAAGCUGGAGCAUGUCAUUUCUGAGCUACUGAAGGUUGGUCAUGGGUGCAAGGAAAAGCUGGACAAGAUCAAACAAGUUGUCAUGGAGGAGUGAUUUUUUAGGCAUGGCUGGUAAGUAAAUAUGAGGCCUCUAUAUAUAACUGGCCUAGCAAUGAAGGAGUCUGAUGCAAAUAUGCAUCUCAUCUGAUGCAAAUACGCAUCUCAGUACUAAUAUGUGGCACCCCGGCUCAGAGCGACCGGUUUACCCUGCAUUGCCAGCCCAGAGAUCAUGUCUUCUGGCAACACACAACAUAAGUGUACAGAAAACAACCGCUUUAUUGAUGCUAGCGGAACAGAGUUCAUAUUACAACAGUGGUCGAGGCCAAGCGGCGCACUCGGUGCGGCGGAACAAUCUGUACAUUAUUUAGUGAACAUAAAGGGGCCUCGACUCGAACAACUACGUGGCAGCGGAAUAACGUCGUAGCGGAAACUCCAUAUCACAGGGACACUGAUGUGGACACGAUCUAGACUCGAACAGCGCUCCUUUCCAAUGAGACUUUCCUGAAAUCUGGCAUGACACGCCAGGUUAGUACAUUGAAUGUACUUGCAAGCUCACAACAAGCAUAAUCAUAAUGACAAACAAUAUCAAGAUAUUUAACCAAUUAUUUAUAAUGCAACAUUAUAUGUCAACAUGCUGUGAUCAAGCCCAAACGUCCCUCAGGACAACUUACCAACUGUGAUCAUCUCUGCACCACAAACACUCCACCAUAGUGGUCUUUCUCAAGAACAACUCGUGAUCCUUACGGCGAUCACAACCACGACCAUCAUUUGGUCCCAAAUACCUCGAUGGCCUUUCUGCCAUCCAUUGACAAUGCAAAGUUCAUAGCUUAGUGUGCAAUUUUUAUUAAACGUUGACUCAUGGUGUGACCUAGUACGAGGUGUCCGUGACCGUGGACUCGGCUAUCGAUAGAUUAUACACUCUGCAGAGGUAGCACACUAUACCCACACCACGGAACCCAUGGCCUCGCAUUCUCAUUCGGGUGGACCAACGGCAUUCCGACAAAACCCCUCCAUUGCCACAACACUCUCCCGGCCACUCCGACCCAAAUCCCCAAUGGGCUAGUCCUGGGUGGCCCCGUGUCUACCAAAGACACCCCGACCACCGUCGUGGUCAAAACACUCCCACUCGGGGACUCGGUACCAUAAUCUCAUCAACGAGCACACAAGAUUAUGUGCGCUUACCGGGCCAGGGCAAACAUGACAUAAUCUUCCCUAGAUGGAGGCACCGACCAGAGGCUGUGUCAAUGGACCGAAUCAAGGCCUUCCCACAAGGCAAAUGUGGUUGCACUAGAAAGAAACUCGAUUCAGCGGCACCAUGACCCAGUCAACGGUAUAUUCAAGUUGAGUUAUAUUCAGGAUUAACUUUAAACUAAAAAUGACCAGUGUCAUAACAUGCCAUGAAAUGCAAAACAACACAUGCAUCACAUAUUGAUAAAAAUGACCGACGUCAUCCAUAUGCACACUAAGCAUAAACGUCAACAACUCAUAUUACUCUACUUGCUCAAAAUGUCUCACAACUUAAGCAAAAUAUUUUGCAACAAGUUUUAUUAAUUUCCUACGCAAGAAAGUAACUCCAAUAAAUUUUUCAUAUGCUUGACCAAAAGAUAUCAUUAUCAACAACUCUUAAUUUCUUUAUCACUAAGUUGGGUUCAAACAUUCUGUAAGACAAGUAAUUUGAUUAAACAAGUAUUUAACAGAAUGUUUUCUAACAAAUUUUUAUCAAUUUAAGAAUGCAAACACAAAGCUUUAAAUAAUUACUAACAUGCAUAACAAAAUUAUUUCUAACAUCACCUCAAAUAAAUUUUUAACCUGCUUUACCCACUUAAACUAGUUUCAACUAUUAUGUAAAUCAAGCAUAACAACUGACCAAUACUUAAUAGAAUACAAAUAAUUCAAUAAUUAUUUAAAUGCAUGGGUUAAUCAUUUCAUUUAAGUGAGAAAAUCACAAAUAUUGAAAUGGCAUCAUAAAAAUGUUGUUGUGGCUUGCCUUAGUGCAGAUGAGGUUCACAAGCCUCCUGGUGAUCCUCAAGACAAGCCUCACCUUCUGAAAAUAAUUUUAAACACAAAAAGAAAAUAUCAAGAACACUUCUGAAAUUCACCAGAAAUUCUAAACAGCUUAGAAAAAUCUCAUCUUUGGUGAGCUGUUAGAUUUCCUUUCAAAGAACACAAUGCAAAAAGAAUCUUCUCAUUUGGACUUAUGGUUAAAAAGUUAAAAUUGUUUGAAGCUCUCUGGAAUAUAAAUGAAUUAGAAUAAAAAGAAACAGCUGGGGGGUGACGUCGAAGGCGUAAAGCCCAGGGGCGCCACCACUCGUACCGCUUCGCGCGUGUACUGAGUGGCUGACUAGCGGGCCCCGCUAGUCAGGUGGGGGAAGAGGGAGAGAGAAACAGAGAGGGCCGCGGCUUCGUUGGAGCUCUUGCCGGCGACGAGGGCUCCUUGGCCCAAACGAGAGGGAAGGAUUGAGAGAGGGGACGAUGGCGCACCUGCCCGUACCCGUAGCGUGGCUAGGGUGGUCAGACGGCGUCGGAAACUAGCUCGCAAGCGGAGGCAGAACAUGGAGGUCGCCGGAGUUGAGGAAGACGGCGAGCAGAGGUCACUCCAGAGAGCUCGGCGUCACCCAGAGCGCGUCGACACGCAUGCCUGGCAUCGUGGACACGCGUGGUCACCGCGCGAACUCUGUCCUCAGGCCAGCCUUCGUCCAAAAAUCAUGUCUGGCAUGUUGUUCGUGGUAGUUUUGAAGUUUACCACGGUUUGGUUUGGAUCCAGGUGCAGUAGAGAAGAUUUUACAAGCCAGGUAAGUUUCUGGUCAGUAAUUUUGUGAUGUUACUGUGGUCAAAUGGCUGGGAGUUUGGGGCUGUGCUUUGGAGGCUAGUUAUAAGUUACUAAGGUAAAGAUGCACAAGAAAGUUCAGGUCAAAUGGAGCAAGUAAAAUGGUAGUUGUUGUAGAAACCACCAUUUCUGUCCAGAACAGAAAAGAUUUUCUGUAGCAAAAAUAUUCCAAAAAGUGAUGAAAUAUUUUUGCUCAGGGAGGUGCCCUAGGGUCCCUAGAAUAUUUGUGAAUUAUCUUAGAAUUUUCUGAGCCAUAAAAAUUAGGGUUGCCUUGAAGCAAACAGAUCUGGCUUAGGGUUUUUGAGAGAAAAUGAAUAUUUUUCAUUUAAGAAAAAUAUUCCAAAGGUUAUUUUGUGGUGGAUCAGAAGUGAAGUGAUGGUUUGGGAGAGAAGUGAACACUUGGGUGAAAGCCAAGGAUGCCCAAGUGUUUAUGUCCAAAUGAAAAGAUUCAGAAACUCCAAGUUUCAAAAACUUUCAAAUGAAAUUUCAAGCAAAUAAGAAAAGGCAGAAACCAGGCUGUCACAAACCUUCCCCACUUAGAAUGAAUCUCGUCCUCGAGAUUCGGUUGCUUGGGAAAACCACUCUGGAUACUGACUCUUAAGGAACUCUUCCUGCUCCCAAGUUGCUUCUGACUCGGUGUGAUGCUCCCACUGAACUUUGAAAAAAUUUCUGACUUUGCUGCGAGUGACCCUUUCCACUUGAUCCAAAAUUUUGGACGGUCUUUCUUCAGAAGUUAAAUCCUUUGCCAAUUCUAUCUCAGCCCUUACAGUCCUUUUCUCAGGCGGGGAUAUGCAUCGUCUCAAUUGCGAAACAUGGAACACAUUGUGUAUUUCUGACAACUCCGGGGGUAGUUCCAGUUGGUAUGCAACCGUACCCACUCGAGACAUAAUUGAGAAUGGACCAAUGAAUAUGGGUGCCAGCUUUCCACUAGUCUGAAAUCGCUUAACUCCUUUCAUAGGAGUGACUCGGAGGUACACAUGUUCUCCGGGUUCAAAACUGACAUGUCGGUGCUUUGCAUCAUAAUAACUCUUCUGACGGGAUUUGGCCAAUUGCAGUCGGUCUCUGAUUUCCCUGACUUGUUUCUCGGCUUCCAUCAUGAGAUCGGUUCCGAAGAUAUGGCUAUCUCCAGCUUGAGACCAAUUUAGAGGAGUGCGGCACUUACGACCAUAUAGAGCUUCAUAGGGUGACAUCUUUAGACUGGUCUGGAAACUGUUGUUAUAUGAGAACUCGGCGUAUGGCAAGCAAUCUUCCCAGUUCGCCCCGUUGGCUAGCACACAUGCUCGCAACAUAUCUUCGAGUAUUUGAUUUACUCGCUCUGUCUGACCGUCCGUCUGGGGGUGAUAAGCAGUACUAUAUUUUAGUGUUGUCCGCAAGGCUUGAUGGAGGUGGGACCAGAAAGCGGAGGUAAACAAAGAACCUCGGUCGGAAGUGAUAGUCCGGGGUACCCCAUGCAGACUGACGAUUCUGGAUACAUACAGUUGCGCCAGUUCAUUUGCUUUGUAUCUGGUGCUGACCGGGAUGAAAUGAGCAACCUUGGUUAGGGUGUCCACUAUAACCCAGAUUGCGUCUUUGCCUCACUGAGUCCUAGGCAAUCCGGUGAUGAAGUCCAUGCAAACAUCAUCCCAUUUCCAUUGUGAAACUGGCAGUGGUUGGAGAAGUCCGGCUGGCUUCUGAUGCUCUGCUUUCACCUUGUUGCAUAUGUCGCAACAGGCUACAAAAUAGGCAAUGUCUUUCUUCAUCCCAUUCCACCAGAAUAUUUGUUUAAGGUCUUCAUACAUUUUCGUACUUCCCGGAUGAAUGGAAUACGAGGAUUCAUGUGCUUCUGACAAGAUUUUCCUCUUCAAGUCCGGUUGAUUUGGUACACAAAUUCGUCCACGGAAUCGGAGGGUGCCGAAGUUGUCCUUGAAGAAAUCUGGGGGCUGCCUUGCAUGUUUUUGUAGCUUAUCGUCAUCUGGCUGGGCCUUGCGGAUUUCCAUCUCAAGUGUGGGGGUAACUUCCAAAAUAUUAGUGAGGCCAGCAUCCACAAUGACCAAGUGGAGCUGAGCGAUCUCCUCCUGAAGUUCGGUAGGCGAUGAUUUUAACAUGACAUUUAAGCUGACGGGCUUUCGACUGAGCGCAUCGGCAACGACGCUGGCCUUGCCUGGAUGGUAAUUUAUUCCAAGGUCAUAAUCCUUGACCAACUCUAGCCAUCUUCGCUGACAGAGAUUUAAAUCUGGCUGAGUGAAGAUGUACUUGAGGCUUUUGGGUCGGUAAAAAUUUGGCACCUUUUUCCAAUGAGAUAGUGUCUCCAAAUUUUUAAUGCAUGAACCACUGCAGCCAAUUCCAAAUCAUGAGUAGGAUAAUUUCCCUCAUGUGGUCGUAGUUAUCGUGAUGCAUAGGCUACUACCUUGCCGUCUUGCAUCAAUACACAACCAAUACCUUGUCUGGAGGAAUCACAGUACACAUCGAAGCUGCGAUAAAUGUCUGGAAGAGUCAAUACAGGUGUGGUUGUCAGACGCGUCUUUAGCUCAUAAAAACUCUUCUCACAGUCCUUGGUCCACUCAAACUUUGUAUCCUUUUUGAGCAGUUCCAUCAUAGGUUUAGCAAUUUUGGAAAACCCUUCAAUGAAACGACGAUAGUAUCCAGCUAAUCCGAGGAAACUCCGGAUCUGUGUUACAGUCGUGGGCGGUACACAAUCGAGCACAUCCUUUACUUUGCUCGGGUCCACGGCUAUGCCUUCGGCGGAUAGUACAUGCCCGAGAAACCCAACUUGCUUGAGCCAAAAUUCGCACUUACUGAACUUGGCGUAUAGCUGAUGGUUGCGGAGCCGUUGUAGCACUGCCCGGAGGUGAUCCUUAUGCUCUUCUUGACUCUUGGAGUAAAUGAGGAUGUCGUUGAUAAAGACUACCACAAAUUUGUCAAGGAAGUCCAUGAACACCUUGUUCAUCAUAUGCAUGAAGAAGGCAGGGGCAUUGGUGAGACCAAAGGACAUCACAGUAUAUUCGUAAAGACCGUAUCGUGUAGUGAAUGCGGUCUUAGGAAUACCUUCCCUUUUAAUCUUGAGCUGACGAUACCCGGUCCGUAAAUCGAUUUUUGAGAAUACUUUAGCCCCACUGAGCUGAUCGAACAGAUCAUCAAUCCUUGGCAGUGGGUAUUUAUUUUUGAUGGUGACCUCAUUCAGCUGGCGAUAAUCUAUGCACAUACGGAGACUGCCAUCCUUUUUACCCACGAAGAUUGCAGGUGACCCCCACGGUGAAGAGCUGGGACGAAUAUAACCUUUCCGAAGUAAUUCGUCAAGCUGUUUCUUUAGUUCCACUAAUUCUGAUGAGGGCAUCCAGUAAUACUUCUUGUAUAAUGGUGCGGUUCCGGGCACAAGAUCUAUGGCAAAUUCCAGUUCCCGAUCUGGUGGCAUGCCUGGCAGUUCUUCUGGAAACACAUCAGGGUACUUACUGACCACAGGAAUAAAUUCCAAUUCGACCACAGCAGUGCACACUAGUUCUGGCUUGGGUAUAUGCUUGUGAGCAUAGAAUUUGGUGCCCAUUCAGACUGGUUAAAUUGACUUCUCGGGUUGCGCAGUUUAUACAAACUUGAUAUUUGGUCAGCCAAUUCAUUCCCAAUAUAAUAUCCAACUGUUCAGACUCAAUGAUUAUCAGAGAUGUUGGAAAGUGGACCCCGUUGAUAUUGAUCUCCAGAUCACGGCAGACUAGAUUGCUCUUGAUUAUAGAUCCCGGGGUUUGUACCAGCAUAUUUUUGCCCAAAAUUGUGCAAGGAAAAUUGUUUUGGGCGGAAAAACUCCGAGAAAUAAAAGAAUGGGAAGCCCCAGAGUCAAAUAAAAUUACUGCAGGUAUGUCAUUAACAGAAAACAUACCAAUGACGACUUCUGGCUUCUCUUGGGAUUCAUCGGCAGAGAUAUGAUUCAUGUGCCCAGUGAAGUUUUGCUGGGUUGGCCCUGACUCCAUAAAGUGGACUUGUGGCCUGCUCAGCGCAUUCACCUUGUGGUUCUUGGGGCACUGUUUGGCAUAAUGUCUGGGCUGCCCGCAAGUGAAACAAGAAUUAUUGGGCUGCCGCUCCUCAUGCAUUAGAUUGGCCCCAACAUUCUUGACUUGAGUGGUGGUCUUGUUAACAUUCUGCUGCCAAUUUGGCCGGUAUUCCACCUGAGUCUGCUGCCAGGUACGAGCCUUUUGCAUAGGUUGCCCAUCCUUCUUUGGCUCAAACUUGCGCUUGUUGUCGUUAACAGGCCUAUUAUCUGAUAUAAGCUUGUGUUCCCGUUCAGCAAUGAAUGCCUUGUCUACCAGAGUUUGGAAAUCCGUGAAAUCAAACAUACUGAGAGCACACCGAAGUUGCGGAUUUAAACCUCCAAGAAAUCUGUCCAUCUUCCUUUCUUCGGUGGCUACGUCAUACAGAGAGUAACGGGCCAGAUGAUUCAAUUUUUGCAGAUACUCAGCCACAGAUUGAUUUCCUUGGACAAGCGCGAGAAAUUCACGCUGCUUGGCCUUCAUAACUCCAGUAGGGAUGUGAUAUUUGCGGAACUUAUCCUUCAAUUUUUCCCAGGUGACUUCCUCAUCAAUCGGCCACAUAGCUUUUGUAUUUUCCCACCAUAUCGCAGCUGCGCCUUCAAGGUAAUGGGUUGCAAAUGGGACUUUAUCAUUUCCUUCAGUAUGGGAGAUCUCAAGCUUUUUCUUCAUGGUGCGCAACCAAUCGUCUGCAUCCAAUGGGUCAACAACCUGACUGAAAUUGGGUGGAUUGGUCCUCUGAAAAUCUGACAUCUUUGAGUGAUGACCAUUCUGAUUUCCAUUUUUUCCAACUAUAGCUUGCACACUUCUCAAUAUUUCAAUCAGAUCAUUGUUCCUUUUUCUUCAAACAUACGCAGAACUUGCUCGGUGGAGGGAGGAUCAGGCGGAGGAGGUGGUGGCUGAACGUACGGCUCGGGAGAAUAUCCUGCCUGUCGUGCGGAACGACGAACAUGAGUUCCCUCACGAACGUUGCUACUGCCGCCUCCCCGCGUCAUCCUAUUGAGUAUUUUUCCCAAGGCAACGAAAUCGAGAUGAGAGACAUCCAAGAAUAAAAUUGGGGAAAAGCCAGCAACAAUUCUCAAAAAAGACAAAAGAGCGAAGAGAAUACGGCGACUAAAGUCCCAUCAUAAUUAUACAUAGACUCAUACAUGAAAAUUUAACAACCUGACUGGUUCCACUACUCUCAUACAUGAAGCAUCAUGACUCCUACAACUACAUCCGUACACCAUCUAGACGACUGCGAAUACUCAAAGACAUUACUGCUCUGCUAGUGCUACGGUGUCCUCCCCUGAAGCGGUCUCAGAUCCCGAACUGACGUGGUUAACGGAAACCUCCGGGUUAAAGGUAACACGACGACGCUGCCUCAAGGGCUCUCCCUCAGGGGUAGGGGUAGGAUGAAGCAUCGGGGCUGCAGGAGUAGCAAGAAGUGAGACCCACUCGGCAGGAGUACUGAGAGGGUUCACGGCCGGAACGCCUGUGCUACUAGGGGGAGUAACCGGCGAAAUAGGGGAGCUAGAGCUAACUGGGACAUAAGGGGUAAAUCCCAGUGAGGAUGGAGUAGUGGUGGAUCUAGUAGUGACCAAGGUAGCGGCUAAAGCAGUACGGGCACGAGUCAGCUCUCGAGCCAGCUCGUGGAUCAUCAGAUAGCUAGCAGUGAUAUAGCGAGCAAGAUGGCUAGCAACACUAUGAGACUCCGGGUUAACGAGAGGAAAACGGACACGACCGUUGUCGUGUAGAGAUGGGUAGUAAUAGAAUCCUGGGUGAUGCUGCAUUUGAACCUCGAUAUAACGAAGCUCGACAAGGACCUCAAAUGCGGCAAACUGGACAGCCUGAGAAGCGGUGGAGGCGUAACUGCUCCGAGAAGUGCGAGUGUAAGAGCCGGAAUCGGAACUGGUGCGCAGAGUAACCACUGCGUGAUACUCAUACACUGAGUCUGCUAGACGCUCCCGGUACACACGGUAGACUGGUUCGUCUCCGUGAGGGUACAGCCGACGCCACACGUUGCGGAGAAGGUGCGGUGACGUGUACGGCAUCAACUGCAACUGGCACGGAUAUGGCACCGGAGCCAUCUACACUCACAACCAUUAACAGGUUAGCAUAAAGAUAAUAAUCAAAUGACUACAAUGCAACAACCAGCUAUAACUGCUACCGACACUCACAUUUACUCAUGUCUAGUGUCCAGUUAACACGUCGUACUCUAGCGUGUCCUACAGUCAGCGCGGCUCUGAUACCAACCGCUGUGGCACCCCGGCUCAGAGCGACCUGUUUACCCUGCAUUGCCAGCCCAGAGAUCAUGUCUUCUGGCAACACACAACAUAUUGGUACAGAAAACAACCGCUUUAUUGAUGCUAGCGGAACAGAGUUCAUAUUACAACAGUGGUCGAGGCCAAGCGGCACACUCGGUGCGGCAGAACAAUAUGUACAUUAUUUAGUGAACAUAAAGGGGCCUCGACUCGAACAACUACGUGGCAGCGGAAUAACGUCGUAGCAGAAACUCCAUAUCACAGGGACACUAAUGUGGACACGUUCUAGACUCGAACAACGCUCCUUUCCAACGAGACUUUCCUGAAAUCUGGCAUGACACGCCAGGUCAGUACAUUGAAUGUACUUGCAAGCUCACAACAAGCAUAAUCAUAAUGACAAACAAUAUCAUGAUAUUUAACCAAUUAUUAAUAAGGCAACAUUAUAUGUCAACAUGUUGUGAUCAAGCCCGAACGUCCCUCAGGACAACUUACCAACUGUGAUCAUCUCUGGACCACAAACACACAACCAUAGUGGUCUUUCUCAAGAACAACUCAUGAUCCUUACGGCGAUCACAACCACGACCAUCAUUUGGUCCCAAAUACCUCAAUGGCCUUUCUGCCAUCCAUUGACAAUGCAAAGUUCAUAGCUUAGUGUGCAAUUUUUAUUAAACGUUGCCUCAUGGUGGGACCUAGUACGAGGUGUCCGUGACCGUGGACUCGGCUAUCGAUAGAUUAUACACUCUGCAGAGGUAGCACACUGUACCCACACCACAGAACCCAUGGCCUCGCAUUCCCAUUCGGGUGGACCAACGACAUUCCGACAAAACCCCUCCAUUGCCACAGCACUCUCCCGGCCACUCCGACCCAAAUCCCCAACGGGCUGGUCCUGGGUGGCCCCGUGUCUACCAAAGACACCCCGACCACCGUCGUGGUCAAAACACUCCCACUCGGGGACUCGGUACCAUAAUCUCAUCAACGAGCACACAAGAUUAUGUGUGCUUACCGGGCCAGGGCAAACACGACAUAAUCUUCCCUAGAUGGAGGCACCGACCAGAGGCCGUGUCAAUGGACCGAAUCAAGGCCUUCCCACAAGGCAAAUGUGGUUGCACUGGAAAGAAACUCGAUUCAGCGACACCAGGACCCAGUCAAUGGUAUAUUCAAGUUGAGUUAUAUGCAGGAUUAACUUUAAACUAAAAAUGACCGGUGUCAUAGCAUGCCAUGAAAUGCAAAACAACACAUGCAUCACAUAUUGAUAAAAAUGACCGACGUCAUCCAUAUGCACACCAAGCAUAAACGUCAACCACUCAUAUUACUCUACUUGCUCAAAAUGACUCACAACUUAACCAAAAUAUUUUGCAACAAGUUUUAUUAAUUUCCUACGGAAGAAAGUAACUCCGAUAAAUUUUUCAUAUGCUUGACCAAAAGAUAUCACUAUCAAAAACUCUUAAUUUCUUUAUCACUAAGUUGGGUUCAAACAUUCUGUAAGACAAGUAAUAUGAUUAAACAAGUAUUUAACAGAAUAUUUUCUAACAAAUUUUUAUCAAUUUAAGAAUGCAAACACAACGCUUUAAAUAAUUACUAACAUGCAUAACAAAAUUAUUUCUAACAUCACCUCAAAUAAAUUUUUAACCUGCUUUACCCACUUAAACUAGUUUCAACUAUUAUGUAAAUCAAGCAUAACAACUGACCAAUACUUAACAGAAUACAAAUAAUUCAAUAAUUAUUUAAAUGCAUGGGUUAAUCAUUUCAUUUAAGUGAGAAAAUCACAAAUAUUGAAAUGGCAUCAUAAAAAUGUUGUUGUGGCUUGCCUUAGUGCAGAUGAGGUUCACAAGCCUCCUGGUGAUCCUCAAGACAAGCCUCACCUUCUGAAAAUAAUUUUAAACACAAAAACAAAAUAUCAAGAACACUUCUCAAAUUCACCAGAAAUUCUAAACAGCUCAGAAAAAUCUCAUCUUUGGUGAGCUGUUAUAUUUCCUUUCAAAGAACACAAUGCAAAAAGAAUCAUCUCAUUUGGACUUAUGGUUAAAAAGUUAAAAAAAUUUGAAGCUCUCUGGAAUAUAAAUGAAUUUGAAUAAAAAGAAACAGCUGGGGGUGACGUCGAAGGCGUAAAGCCCAGGGGCGCCACCACUCGUACCGCUUCGCGCGUGUACUGAGUGGCUGACUAGCGAGCCCCGCUAGUCAGGUGGGGGAAGAGGGAGAGAGAAACAGAGAGGGCCGCGGCUUCGCCGGAGCUCUCGCUGGCGACGAGGGCUCCUUGUCCCAAACGAGAGGGAGGGAUUGAGAGAGGGGACGAUGGCGCACCUGCCCGUACCCGUAGCGUGGCUAGGGGUGGUCAGACAGCGUCGGAAACUAGCUCGCAAGCGGAGGCAGAACAUGGAGGUCACUGGAGUUGAGGAAGACGGCGAGCAGAGGUCACUCCAGAGGCUCCAAGUGGGCGAGAUGGCCUCACCGGAGAGAGGCGGAUGCCUUGGAGGGGUCGCCCAGGCCUGGGAGGGGCUAGAGCUACCGCGGCGACCAGAGGGGAUCGCCGGCGAGCUCGAGCUCGGGGACGGCGGCCCGAGGCCUGCCCGGCCGGGCUACGGCUUCCUACUCGAUCGUGGGGUGUGUGUGAGUGCUGGAUGGUGCUCGAGGAGGCUGGGGUGGCUCUAUUUAUAGGCGAGCGGCGAGGGUGCUUCGGGCUCCGCCAGUGGACACCUGUCCACGGUGACCGGUGACGAGCGGCGUCAGUGAGAGGGGGAGAAGGCGAUGGAGGUCACGCGGCCACUGUGGGCGAGCGGAGACGAGCACAGGAUCAAGGGGAUGGCGACGAGCACAGUGCGUUCCGCACUGUUGGGCUGGCCGGACCUUGCCCGUGCUCGCUGCGGCGAGCUCUGGCGUCGGCGAGUGCCAGGGAGGAGUUAAGGACGUCGAGACGAUGAUGGUGGCGGGGUUUGGCAUGGUUGGGCAGGCGGGGGAAGCGAGCACGCUCGAACAGAGCGCUCGGCGUCACCCAGAGCGCGUCGACACGCAUGCCUGGCAUCGUGGACACGCGUGGUCACCGCGCGAACUCUCUCCUCAUGCCAGCCUUCGUCCAAAAAUCAUGUCUGGCAUGUUGUUCGUGGUAGUUUUGAAGUUUACCACGGUUUGGUUUGGAUCCAGGUGCAGUAGAGAAGAUUUUACAAACCAGGUAAGUUUCUGGUCAGUAAUUUUGUGAUGUUACUGUGGUCAAAUGGCUGGGAGUUUGGGGCUGUGCUUUGGAGGCUAGUUAUAAGUUACUAAGGUAAAGAUGCACAAGAAAGUUCAGGUCAAAUGGAGUAAGUAAAAUGGUAGUUGCUGUAGAAACCACCAUUUCUGUUCAGAACAGAAAAGAUUUUCUGUAGCAAAAAUAUUCCAAAAAGUGAUGAAAUAUUUUUGCUCGGGGAGGUGCCCUAGGGUCCCUAGAAUAUUUGUGAAUUAUCUUAGAAUUUUCUGAGCCAUAAAAAUUAGGGUUGCCUUGAAACAAACAGAUCUGGCUUAGGGUUUUUGAGAGAAAAUGAAUAUUUUUCAGUUAAGAAAAAUAUUCCAAAGGUUAUUUUGUGGUGGAUCAGAAGUGAAGUGAUGGUUUGGGAGAGAAGUGAACACUUGGGGUGAAAGCCAAGGAUGCCCAAGUGUUUAAGUCCAAAUGAAAAGAUUCAGAAACUCCAAGUUUCAAAAACUUUCAAAUGAAAUUCCAAGCAAAUAAGAAAGGGCAAAAACUAGGCUAUCACAUAAUAUUAGCUAAUGAACUGCCUAAGCCUAAGAACUGCCUAUGGUUUCAGAUCAUUUUGGUUGUGGUGUGGGGUGCUGUUAUGGCCCUGAUCUGUAAUGCUCUAAGAUGAUGUUAUCUUUAAUGCCCUGAUGCUAAGUUAAGAACCUUAUUAUCUAAGCCUGUUGCAGUUUCUAUCUGUCUUUUUAUCCUACCUGCAAUAUGGUCGUGAGAAGUUUGUUGUAACAUUUCACAGAUUGCACAAACUUGGUAACACUGAACAAAGGUAGGUAGUUCACAUAGGAGGCACCAUAGGUAGCAUUACAUAGAUAGCACAAUACUUGCGAAAACUGAAGAUUACUGACACUGACGAAACUGACAUAGGUAGUUCAACUACUGACGAAACUUAAUCUGAAACUUAUAGUUUCAUAUUCACUUAGUUGUCUGUCCUGCUAAGCGUCCGGAUCGUCGUACCUCUUACUUCAGUUGGGUGGGAUUUGGCUGCACCUCCACCUCCUCUUCCUCUUCGUCUUCAUCGAUGAUGAUGAUGGGAGGAGGACGGCGGCGAGCCUGCACAGCUGGCUGUGCGACGAUCUGUAGGUCGUCGUCGUCUUCGUGCAUCUCUGCUGUGUUUGCAUUUGAUGUAGCUUGUGCUGGAGCGACAUAGCGGUGGUCUGCCCACCGCUGCCUCUGCCCAGCAUCGCCGGAGUCGGCCUCCUUCAUUGCCCAUAGGAGAAUGUCGAUGGGCAUGACCACCUUACCUGGGUUUCCAUAGCGCUGCUCCAUGCGCUGCUUCUCCUCGCUAGUCGCCUUCUUCCUCACUUCCUCUGCUGCAUCUACCAACCCAAUAGUGCUGGUGUACCUCAUGGCGACCUUCAUGUAGUCGAGGAAGAGUUCUUGGUCGCCGCGUGCUGAACCAAGAAGCAUGGCAACCCAUCCCUUGCCAGUUGGGAAUGGGUUUAGCCAUGGGUCUGGGGAAGGGGAAGAGGAAGAACCAGCCAUGGUUGGAGCUAGGGAGAGGAGGGGUAGUUGUGGGUGCGGCAGAAGUGAGGUGGAUAGGUGUUGGAGUAGUAGUUAUGUGGAGGAGUUAAGUGGGGGGAGGUGUUGUGUGGCAGUGGAGUAGUAAUAGUGAGGAGAUUUUACUAGUCUUUAUAGGUGGUAGAUGUGCUGUAUUUAAUGUUCACAGUUUCAGUGUGUUGAAACUUGUGAUAAUUUGCUGCCAUUUCUCAUCGGGAAAGUGAAAGUUAGGUUGGAAUGUAACCAAACGCAAAAAAGAUUUCUCAAGUAUUUACAGACAUUCAUGAACAUAAACCUGAUUCAUAAACUUAAACCAAAUUUAGAAACAUUCAGCAAUGCUUAGAUAGCAUGAUCCUUAACCAGAUUCAGACAUAGACAGAUACGAAACAUUCAGUACCACGCAUUAAAACGCAUAAAACAUAGAUAGUUCGAGCUGAUUUAAGCAAACAUAGUACUAAUACAGACGACGAAGAUGACGAUAAUUUGCUGCUGCAUCUCCAUUGUUGCAUGCUCUCUCACUCUGCAGACGACAAAGAUGACGCCGCUCUGAACAUUCAGAAGUAACAUCAAUAAGUGCACGCAAAUGCAGUAUAAAGGAAGAAAUAAUUUUAGAGACAUACAUAAACAAAAAACACAUAGCAUGCAGAGAACAUGCAGAGAACUAAUCCUCUCUUCCUUCGAACGCAUCCAACAUCCUAGUCCACCGAGUCCUUGUUACAUGGAAUCGAUGGAAGCUUGCCCUGUCUCUUGCCCACCGGAUGACAAGGUCAUCCGUGACGUGCGUUCCUUCUGGGAACGCCUCAUUGAACUGCUUGACAUCGUUGGCGUUCCGUUCUGCCAUAAUCCUGGCAGCCAGCCUCCGCCGUCGCUCCAGCGCGUGCGCUCUGCGAUUGGCCCUCGCAGCAGCCCUAUCAACCUCCUCAUGGUCAUCCACUAGCUCUCCUAAUGCUAGAUCCAUCUCUGGCUGAACUAGGGUCCAUGUGCUUCCGCGGCGGCUAGGUUUAGGGUUAGGGGAAAGAGGUUGUACGAUCGCUGCGUCUUUUGUAGACAGAAUGACAGGCUUGGGAGGGGGGCAGAGAGAUCCAAUAACCGAGCCCAGUACCAAGCCCAAAUUAAUAAUGCAUAACAGGGCAGCAGGCCCAUCUUAGACAAGUUCAGUUUCAGACAAGUUCAGUUUCAGACAAGUUCAGACCAGUGCAGAAACUAAGUGCAGAAACUAAGUUCAGAAACUAAGUUCAGAAACUAAGUUCAGAAAAGUUCAGAAACUAAGUUCAGACUUACCAUUAGUUACCACUUGCAUAGAAGUAGCCCUUCAAUUUGGAGCUUGGAUACCUCUUCCUUUUGGUCCCUGCCAAACCUUGUGCAGAAGUUGUGGCAGAUCUUGGUGCACUGAAACCAGAAUUUCUCCCUCUACCUGCAGGCCUACCCCUUCUGGAUGUACCAACAGGGGCUGGAGCUGAUGCAGAAGGUCCUCGAGCAGAAUGUGAUGCUCUAUUUGCUGUUGCAGCAGGGACUGAUAUGGUAGGAUUGGCUCUUCUUCCAUUCGUAGCAUGGCCUUGAGCUGGUGCAGCUGGUGUAUCUGCAUAAACUGCCCUGUUUUCCUGCAUUCAAGAACCAGGCCACAUUUAGUGAGGUAAAUACCAUGGAAAAAGGAAACUUGUAAGUCAUGUAAUUACCUGAUGUUUGUUUUUCCUCAUCUGAAGCUUAGGCCUCAGAGCCUUCUGGCAACUUGUAUACUUGUGUCCUUCUAGCCCACAGUUACUAUAUGUUAUAGUCCCCAUCCUACUACUAUCUCUUGGACCUGGAACUUCAAACUGCCCUUUCCUCCUUGCAGUUUGUUUUUUCCCUGCCUUUUCUUUAAAAAUAGGAGGCUCAAUGUCUGGUGUGUUUGAUUGAGGCCAGCAAUCUGGACCAGGGACAGGGUAUAUAAUUUCUUUGUAUGUCUCAAAAUAUAAUGUCUUCUUGAAAAAUUCACUAACAUAGUCCUCAGGAUGCAGUUUUUGCUUUAUCAUUGCAGAUAUGCCAUGACUGCAAGGUACUUCUGACAUGUUCCAUCUUUUGAAAUCACAGGUAUAUUUUUCCAUGUCAACAGAAUAUUGUUUUUCUUUGCUGGUAACUUGCCAUAUUGUUUCACCUGCUCUAUCAGCCUGGCAAUACUUGGCAUAUUUCUUGUUCUCUUCUAAAAUCUCUGCAUAGUUGGGUGUGAUUGUCCACCUACUAAUCUGUAACUUCUCUCUGGUCUGCUGCCUCUUGAUCAUCUGCUUGGUCCUAAUCCCUUCAAACAUUGUCCUUAUAGGCUUAGCCCUAACAUCCAGUAUCAUCUUGUUGAACACUUCACUCAGGUUGUUCACCACUAGAUCUAUUUUGCAUGUAUGAUCCAUAGCAAACCUAGCCCAAGCAGAAGCAUCAAUCUUUUUUAGCCAUUUCCAAGCAUCCUCACACUGUGCUUUCAAAUCUGCCAUCCCUAAUUCAUGACCAUGUUUUGUGUAAGAGUAGCUAGCCUGGUCCACACAUUUCUUUAGUUCCUGCCCCCUAAAUCCAGCUGCUUGGAAAUUUGCAUAUAUGUGCCUAAGACAGUACCUUUGAGGUAAAUUAGGGAAUACCUCAUUUAUUGCCUUAAGCAAGCCAUGUGCAUUAACCAAUUAGUAAUGCACAUGAUCAAACUUAAAUAAUUCCAAUAGGUACUAAAACCACAUUGAUCAAACAUAUUUGUGCAUAAGACACUAACCUUUUGCCUGUCAGAUAUGAUGGUGUAUGUUCCAAACUUGUUGCCACUACCAAUGCAACAUCUCAACUGAGUUAAAAACCAAGUCCAACUCUCUCCAUCUUCCUUGUCAACCACACGAAAAGCUAUGGGGUAGAUGUUGUUGUUGCCAUCCCUUCCUGUGGCUACAAGUAUUUGUUGUCCAGUGGUUAACUUGAUGAAGCAUCCAUCAAGACCUGGAUUAAGUGACAAAUUAGCUACAACAUAGAACUACUAGGAAACCACUAAUUAAUAACAGUUAAAUCUUCAAAAAUUACCUAUAAAUGGUCUGCAACCAUUAAGGAAACCUUCCUUUGAAGCUGCUAACAGUAGAAAAGAUACUUGAAUCUAGGAGUAGGUGCUGGGUUUUCUGGAUCUUCAAAUGUUGUCACUAUACACCUGCUCCCAGGGUUUGUAUCAAGAACAGCUUGAAGAUAAUCUCUUAACCUCAAAUACUGCUGCUUGUGAUCACCUUGCACCACAUCAACAGCCUUCCUCCUUGCCCUAUAUGCCACACUCCUUGACACAUCCACUGAAAACUUGGUCUUUGUCUUUUUAAUUAAUGCAUCCACAUGAGAUCUAAUGUCUUCUCUCAAUGCUUCCUGUACUGAUCUGGACAACCACUUUGUAGUAACCUUUGUGGACUAUGCACAUGCUCCACAAGUGUGCACAAUAUCACACUUCUUGAUGCAGAAAGUUCUCUCAUGAGCUAUUUUAGAGGCAGUGAUAUAAAAAAUCACAUCCUUGUGCUCUCUUUGAGCACCAAACAAUAAUCCUAUCUGGGGCAUUUCUAUGGUAUUGAAAGUUCCUCAAUGUCCUAAUGUGAAAAUCCAUAAGUGCAUCUCUGUACUCAUAAACACUGGUGAAGCACAAUCCCUUACAAAACUGUUCUUCUGGGUUUGGUAGUUUGGGAUUGAACCAUACCCUUUCCUUCAACUUCAUAUUCCUUCUCUUCCUACCACUUGGUAGUUUAUAGGAUCCUUCAGGCUCAUCUUCUUCAUCACUAAUGCCAUAAUCACCAGGAAAACAUUUUUCAUCAGCUUCAGGCAACCAAUCUGGUUUUUCCAUUUUCUCGGCCUCAUUGUGUGAUCUAAUUGUUGGACCAGGAUUUCUCACUGGCUUUAGUUUCUGUGCCAUUGGUCUAUCUUCAUCAUCAGAUGAAGAAACUACUUGCAGUUCCACACAGUUGCCAUCUGAAUCAGACAGAAAUUCUGAUACAUCAGUGUCACCUUCAAAAUGAUUGAGGUCAGCUUCUCUCUGAAAAAUACUUUUCUUAAGCUCUUCCUUUCUGUCCAUGCUUGUAUCCAUCAACUUAUUGCAACUUUGUUGGGUGUUAAUGCAAUGAUCAACAAAAUAAUAAUCUCUGUUUUCAUCUGCAUUACACAGCUCAUUUGCUCUCACAAUGCUUAUGUUCACACUCUUUUCAUUUAGAGAGUGGAGCAACAUCUGCUGCACAUCAUCUUCAGAAGAUAUUUUCUCUAAGCCUUCUAUCCCUUUAUGAACAUCACUAACAUAGUACAUAUAAUCAUCAGAGCAGCAACCCUCACUCCUAAUAAGAGAUAUCAGAGUCCCAAAUGAUAUGUCUGACUGGUACAUGUUUCUAACAACAGAAUCUCUGCCUUCUAAAUGGAACAAAAUUCCCCAUUUUGGGUCAUCAAUACUGGACACAAAUGGAAUGAAUUAUUAUAAAGAAUGCACACUGCUAAAGUUUCUAACAAUUUGCAAUUACUCUGUUAUCAUACAUUAGGGGAAAUUGACCUAAAAUACAUCCUGUCAAUAAAACUGAAAAAGAAGAAGAUAUGUUGUACCUGCCACCUCCCGCACGAGGAAGCUUGCGCCGGCCACGAGGUGCACUUCCUGUCGUCGUCGGUGGUGGAGCUGCCGCCAACUCCUGGGAUGGCUCGUCGGUGGUCGAGCCGCCGCCGCCGCCAACUCCAGAUUCAGGCUGUUGCGCCGCAAAGCUAGAGCUGCCUAGCCACGUAUCGACCUCCGAAAGGUCGACGCGGCCCCCAACUACGUCAGGAGGUUGGCUGCCGAACAAAUCGCCGUCGGGGUUUGGAUCCACCGCCGCCAUUACCACCACCGCCUAGGGAUACAGAGGAGAGAGCUAGGGGAGAGAGAUGUGGUUCGGUCGGUCGGCCGGCCGGUCGGUCGUUUUGACCUGGCCCCUGGCUGGUUCCGACCGAGCCGGGCCACUAACGGCCGCAAGCGGGCGUCCGUUAGCCGUUAGGGCCGCCGUCGGCCUGCCAUGUGGGCCAUCCCUAUCAGUUAAGCGGUUAAAACGACUAAAUGGACGAUCAACACGACUUGGUAGUUUUUUGCCACAAAAUUUGAAAUUUUUGGUAGUUAUUAGUCACUUUUUUGAAAGUGGUAGUUCUGUGGGACGGAUACCCCUAAUGUGGUAGUUUUUUGUCAAAUACUCGCCAAAUCCAAAGGGCGCAAGUUCAGGCUUAAAGGUCUGAUCGAUCCUGCUAACUUGAAAGGAAAGCUGGGUGCUUGUAGGCUAGAAGCUCUUGUUCGAGAUAGAAACAACAAGCACAUACUUCUGGGUAACAAUGCGGGAAAUCUCAACAGGCAUGGUUACAUCGCCACCUCCUAUCUGGGCAAGAUCAUGCACGUUUGUAAAACCGGGGUACUUGUGCUGGAUCAAGGUCAUAAGUGGUUUGCCGACAAUAAUCCUUGCAGCUUUAUCAAAGCACAUGAAUUCUGCUUCAGCUGUUCCAUCACUUCCAAAAGUGCACACACAGUAUCUAAAUUUGAUGAGUCAGACGGACUUUGAAGGAACUUAGCAAAUAUAUUGAAAUACAUAAUGGAGGUUACAUAAAACGGAUGCCAUUACCAAUUAUCAUCAUUGACUAUCAGCAAGGAUUCCAAAUUGUCUAUUUAAAACUAACAUUCUCAUGGUGAGUGGAAACAGGCAUUAUGACAUAAAUAAUGGAGGUUACAUACACCACUAUGUUCGACCGAGGGCAUGUUUCUGUAGGUUACAUACGUCUGAACAAUUUUAAUGUUAUGUUCUGCUGACCCUAAUUCAAUAUUUGGUCUUGAUGGUGCUAUUAAACAAAGCCAGGCUCGUUUGCACCAGUAUGUUUUGACUUUUGAGUGAUACAAGCUUAUUCAAUGACACAAAGAGUGAUAUAAGCUCAUUCAGUGACAAGCCUGUAUUUAACUCCAGGUUGAGGAAACCAAAUGCAUAUAACUAUAUAAGAAUACUGGAUGCCGACAUGACCAAGUAAGAUGUAAAACAUGAAUGCAGAAAUAGAGAGAAUGCAUUUGCAUGUCCUGUGGUGUAGUUGUUACCUACCAAGCCUCUACGGUUGGAAACUGCAACAUAAGGCAAGAUUUUGGUAACAUCCACAUGAUCUGAAAUGAAUGUGAGCUCACCACCUAAAUAAGGAAUUCCUCCCCAGUGCUUAAUGCCAGACUGUAAAGCCAGCUCCUUCUUGUACACCAUGUCAAUUUCUUCCAUGCCUCGAUAUGUUUUCUGACAUAACUGAAGAAAGAAAUAAAGGAUUACUAUAAAAUUAAAAUAGAUUACAAGGAGUACAAUGCGUAUAGCUAAUCUGACAUGAAAUUAAUUUCUAAUUACACUUGUUAAGCGAGGAAAUUAAAUUUCAUCGCGACCUAAAUCAAAGAUAUGGUUGUAACUGCAUACAUCUAAACUAAAUCACGACAUGAGUUUUUGAACAAAGCACAAACAAAAAAUAUAUUAGCGUAUCAUAUCACAAAAGCUCAAAUUUAUUCUCUACAGCAAGUGACUAUGUGAACAUGUUGCCGUCCUGGUUAAAAUGGAAUUGCAAAAUAAGGGAGGCAAGUACCUAAUAAAUAAGGGAUUCCAACAAAAAGGGGAAAUAAACAAAAGAAUUACCAGAUUGUUGAUAUAUCAUAUAAGCAUAGCACUUAGCGGCAUGACAACUAUACAGCAGUUACAUUUGAAUAUAAUGGGGUGAACAUGAUGUUCGGCUGCUGCAGUUUUUCAAAAUGACACACAUAAAAGCCAGCAAAACCGUAAUGAUAUUCUAGAGGACAAAAUGUAAUGGGCAGAAUGUCCAUGCCGUGGUGGAAAGAAAAAGACAUAUCACUUACAACCAGGUGUACAUUGAUACGUCUCCAACGUAUCUAUAAUUUUUGAUUAUUCCAUGCUAUUAUAUUAUCUGUUUUGGAUGUUUAUGGGCUUUAUUAUACACUUUUGUAUUAUCUUUGGGACUAACCUAUUAACCCAGAGCCCAGUUCCAGUUUCUGUUUUUUCCCUUGUUUCAGUGUUUCGUAGAAAAGGAAUAUCAAACGGAGUCCAAACGGAAUGAAACCUUCGGGAGCGUGAUUUUGGAACGAACGUGAUCCAGGAGACUUGGAGUUGAAGUCAAGGAAGCUUCGAGGUGGCCACGAGGCAGGGAGGCGCACCUGCCCCCUGGGCGCGCCCCUACCCUCGUGGACCCCUCGUGGCUCCCCUGACCGACUUCUUUCGCCUAUAUAUAUCCAUAUACCCUAAAAACAUCGAAAAAUAGAAUAGAUCGGGACUUCCGCCGCCGCAAGCCUCUGUAGCCACCAAAAACCAAUCGGGACCCUGUUCCGGCACCCUGUCGGAGGGGGGAUCCCUCACUGGUGGCCAUCUUCAUCAUCCCGGUGCUCUCCAUGAUGAGGAGGGAGUAGUUCACCCUCGGGGCUGAGGGUAUGUACCAGUAGCUAUGUGUUUGAUCUCUCUCUCUCUUGUGUUCUUGAUUUGGCACGAUCUUGAUGUAUCGCGAGCUUUGCUAUUAUAGUUGGAUCUUAUGAUGUUUCUCCCCCUCUACUCUCUUGCAAUGGAUUGAGUUUUCCCUUUGAAGUUAUCUUAUCAGAUUGAGUCUUUAAGGAUUUGAGAACACUUGAUGUAUGUCUUGUCGUGCUUAUCUGUGGUGACAAUGGGAUAUCACGUGAUACACUUGAUGUAUGUUUUGGUGAUCAACAUGCGUGUUCCGCCCAUGAACCUAUGCAUAGGGGUUGGCACACGUUUUUGUCUUGACUCUCCGAUAGAAACUUUGGGGCACUCUUUGAAGUACUUUGUGUUGGUUUGAAUAGAUGAAUCUUAGAUUCUGUGAUGCAUAUCGUAUAAUCAUACCCACGGAUACUUGAGGUGACAUUGGAGUAUCUAGGUGACAUUAGGGUUUUGGUUGAUUUGUGUCUUAAGGUGUUAUUCCAGUACGAACUCUAUGAUAGAUCAAACUGAAAGAAUAGCUUCGUGUUAUUUUACUACGGACUCUUGAAUAGAUUGAUCAGAAAGAAUAACUUUGAGGUGGUUUCGUACCCUACCAUAAUCUCUUCGUUUGUUCUCCGCUAUUAGUGACUUUGGAGUGACUCUUUGUUGCAUGUUGAGGGAUAGUUAUAUGAUCCAAUUAUGUUAUUAUUGUUGAGAGAACUUGCACUAGUGAAAGUAUGAACCCUAGGCCUUGUUUCAACGCAUUGCAAUACUGUUUGUGCUCACUUUUAUCACUUGCUACCUUGCUGUUUUUAUAUUUUCAGAUUACAAAAACCUUUAUCUACCAUCCAUAUUGCACUUGUAUCACCAUCUCUUCACCGAACUAGUGCACCUAUACAAUUUACCAUUGUAUUGGGUGUGUUGGGGACACAAGAGACUCUUUAUUAUUUGGUUGCAGAGCUGUUUGAGAGAGACCAUCUUCAACCUACGCCUCCCACG